GUGUUAAGGUUUCAAAGAAAAAUUUUCAAAGAGGUUUCAAAAACCCUAAGACCGCACUUUAUCAAUAUUUGCCCCAGUAUGAGGGUAUUAAGACCGAAAAAAUUGCCCCAGUUUGGCUUUUGACUUCUUUUUUUCUUUUUCUCUCUUUUUUUUUCAUGACAAAUAGGAGAUAAAAAUUUACCCCAGUAUGGGGUUUGCAAUCUUUAGGAGAGCUAUCAAAUGAAGGGUUAAAUUAUUCUGCAGGUUCAAUGGGGAAAACUAGGGGUAAGAUGUUCAAAGAGAAAAGAAGAAGGCUUGCCUUUGAUCCGCCAUAGAUGGUAUUUCAAAAAGAAAAAUCACAUAAUCAGAGAAAGAAUUUAUUACACAUGUCUGAAUUGAUUGGCAGAGGAAAGACCUGUCCAUCCAGUUCUGUAAGAAUGGACGUUCCUACGGAUAGCACUCUUUGAACAAUAUAUGGCCAUUGCCAAGUUGGAGCAAACUUUUCUUUAACCUCUUCUUGAAUCGGAAGAAUUUACUUCAAAACCAUAUCCCUCACUUCAAAUAAGCGAGAUUUGUCUUUCUUGUCAUAACUAACGAACCAUCCUUUGAUGAUAGCAUUGUCCAUGACAAACAUUCAACUUCUUUUUCCUCAAUCAGAGACAGCAACUCAUUGUGCUCCUUAAUCCAUUUGAUUUCUUCUGCCUGAGCCUUUGUCAAAAUGUGCAAGGACGGGAUCUCGGUUUUGGCAUGUAUUACCACUUCCAUUUCAGCAUAAGAGGGCAAGGUGUUGCCCCAACUUAGAAAUGUAAUCUCCAAUGGAAUGCUCCCAGAGUUCAAUUGCAAAAUUUGCAAAAUCGAAGGAAGAACUCUCUUUUUUUUUCAACCCCCUUUUUUCUUUUCUCUCUUUUUUCUUCUUCUUUUUUUUUCUCCUUUUUUUUAUUCUCUUCUUUUUUUUUAUUCCCUUCUUUUCUUUUCUCUUCUUUUUUCAUUCCCCCUUUCUUUUCUUUUCUCUUUUAUUUUAUUCCCCCCUCGUUUUCUCUCUUUUUUUUUUCUUUUCGCUUUUCAUUCCCCCUUUUUCUUUUCUCUUUUUUUUUUCAAGUUGGCUGCUAAAAUAUGUACUCCUUUUGAGCAAAUAGCCGAUCCUCCACUUUACAAUGUAGCAUUAUUACUCCAUUUUUAUUCGUGAUUAAUCUCCAAAUUUGCAAGUUUUGAAUUGCACCUUUUCUUCGAUCUCAACCAAAAACACCUGCAUAAGGGGAAUUUUUCAAAAUGCUUGAAUUUUUCAAUUUUUUUUGUUUUUAUUUUUUUGAGCAAUGAUGUAACAAUUAAGAUUCAUGCAAAGUAUUGACUUACCAAGAUUUUAAAAAAUAUAUACUUGAUCUUGGACAUACCCUACAAAUGUAUUAUAAAAUUUUGCCUCAAUUUGAACUUAUUUGGUGAAAUCUCACAGGUAUUACAAAAAAAUUUGCCCGGAUUUGGGCUUAUUUUAGUUGCAAAAUAAUCACAUACAAUGUGAAUAGAAACUACAUUUUUCAAAUAAAGAAUUUAAAUAUCGUAUCCAAACUCAUGUAGAAGAUUCCAUGAUAAAUCCCUCAAAAUAAGACCAAAUUGAAAAAGAUCUCUUCCUUGUUUUGGGAUUGGUGUUGAGGGAAAAGGAUCACUUUUCUUAUGAGCUCAUCUUUUAGGACCAAUCAAAUAGAUAUUAUUCAGGAUUUUGAGAUGGCUCAGGGGAAUGGUAUGUCAGGAUCUGUCCUUUUUUUUUUUGUGCCCAAAUUGUAUCCAACACAUUCAAUAUCACAUCUUAGUGAAAGCAAAUAGCUUAUCACUCUUAUUUUUUUGAGAGAACUCAGUCAACAUAUAAGCUGUAUAGGCUUGUAAUAUAUGGGUAGAAACGAUAGCUAAACAUAUGAAAACAGGUUAUGACCUUAUGAUCAUGAGUGAUUGGUAGAUUCCUUAAAGACAAUAUUUUUCACUUCAAAUUGUCAUGAAAGAUAAGUCAGCAAUGGACUUUAUGAACUUAUAAUGUAGUUCAACAACGAUAGCUAAAAAAAAAAACUUUCAAGGACAAUGCACUUAAAAUCGCAUUUCUUCCCAAAAAUUGCCCCAAUUUCGGAUUUGAAAUCCGGAACCCCAUUUUGACUCUCUCUUUCUUAUCAAUCCUCUUUUUUUCUUCAACAAUCACUAAGGGGAAUGCAGCAUUGGAUGUCUUUGCAUUUUCUUUCUUUCUUUUUUUUUCUUUCAUCAUUUUUUCAUUUUUUCACAUUUUUCUUUUCUUUUCUCUCUUUUUCUUUUCUUUUUUAAUUAAUUAAUUAAUUUUUUUUUUACCAAUAAUGAUAUCCCUAUGCCAAUGAUAAAAUUGAACACUCCCUAAUUUGGAGUGUAGAUGGCCCCUCUUUCUUUUUGAUAAUGAAGACCAAAUAUCAAUGUUAGAGUCAAAUUCCCCCAACUUGUAGCAUUUUCUCCCUUCUUCUUUUUUUUUUCUUUUUGAAAUCUCCUUCCCCAGUGUGGAGGUGCAAUCAUAAGUGCUUUUGAAACGAACCACCAAUUUAGGCUCAAAUGAGGAUGCAAAGGAUAAGAGUGUUUAGAUGGUAGAAACGAUGGCCAAAGCAUCAUUCUUAUUUCUCAUGACAACCAAAGUAAAGAAUAACCCGUUGGAAAAACCCAUUUCCAUUUGACAUUCGAAAAUUUUUCCGUGGAGGGUCAUGAUCAUUGAGGGUUUUAUUUGAAACGAAACUCUAUUUUUUGAAGUCUCAAAUGGGGAAAUAAAUGAUAGAAUCUGUAUAGAUAGAGAGACGAAAGUCUAAAGUAUCAUUCCAAAUUUUCAAAAUAAAAUAAGAAUUAACGUACAUUUUUGCUUUCACUUAGAUGUGGAUUGAAUCUGGUUAGACACACCGAACAUUUUCACGGAAAAAAUUAUCUCACUUUGAAACUAGUCAGCCAAUGCGACUGAUCUUGGAGGUUCAAUAAAAGUGGACAAAAAAAUGAAAAUGAAAAGUGUUGGGGUUGAUCUUUUAUGACAAGCUAUCAAAUUUGAAUGACCCCUUUUAUUUCCGACUAUCCUCAUUGAAUAGUUUAGGCCACAAAUCUAGUGUAUGCAAAGAAUUUUGGGAAUUUGACAUGCACUCAUGAAUUUCGAACAAGAAGUCGAAAAAUUUCAAUUUAGCCUUAUUCCUUAAAAUCUAUCAUGAAAUCUCUUAAUGAGCAAAUAAAGAAUGAAUAUAUACAAAACAAUAAUUGUCUAAAUAAAAACUUUAUUAUUCAAAUGUUUGGAAAUUUCUCAAAUGUAAUACAUGUGAGAAAAAUAAAAAUCUCUAAAGAAUACACUUUCAAAUAUAUACACACUUUCUCUUUCUAUCUUUUGAGACAAAAUGGAUUAGAAACAAUGAAUCAAGAGAUUUUUGAGAUGCUUUACACUAGCAUUUUCAAAUGGAUUUUUCAUUCUUCUUUUUUUUUCAUUCAUUUUUUUUUUCACAUUGUAGGAUCUGCCCAAGAAUCAAGUAACAUUUGUAAUUUUUCCAAAAUUUAUUAGACCCAAAAAUAUUAUCAGAUAUAGGAAAAAUAUUUUUUUUUUUUACCUUGUUAAAACAACUUUUAUAAAUGCAGGGGAGGGGGAAAAAAUAAAAGCAAAAUACCCAGAGUUAGUAAGCAAAACUGCAAAAUCGGUAUGCAUGUCCUAUGGGUGAGCCCUUUUAUGCCAAGGGUUGGCCUAGUAUGAAAAAUGCAAUCCUCUGGGGUAGGCAUCAUACAAUACCUGAUGGAUCCGAUCGACUUAUUGAAAUUCGAAUAAAAGACAAUUUUGAAAAAUUUGGUUAAUUGGAGUGACAAGAGACAAUUUGUUCUAACAAAAUGAGGACAAAGUCCGAAUGGAUUGAUUGCUUUGAUUGACACAUAAAGUGAUAUUAAAAAUCAAUUUAGUGUGAAAAGCUUAUUUUUGAAUGAAUUGAAAUGUCUCGACAAGUUUAUUCGAUGAACCAUAGAUCAAAACUUUUUAAAAAAAGAAUAACGGGCAAAAUGGAUCAAAUGGAAUUGAUAAUUAGUUCAAAAAUUGAUUAAAUUAUCCUAAAAGUGAAUAAAACUGAUCAAGUGGAUUGGAUGAAAUUGAAAAUUUACUAAAAAAUUGACUGAAUUAUCCUAAAAAAAAUAAUGGAUUGGAUGAAAUUGAAAAUUUACUAAAAAAUUAACGAUUUAGUCACAAUUGAUUGGAUUGUCCUAAAAAUUGAAUAAGCUGGUAAAAUUAAUUGGAUGUAAUUGACGAUUUAUUCAAAAUUGACUGGAUUAACCUAAAGUGAAUAAAUUGGUCAAGAUGGAUUGGAUGGAAUUGACAGUUUAUUCACAAAUCGACUGGAUCACUGGCCAAAUGAACAGAAUGAAAUUGAUGAUUUAUUCAAAAUGAAAAUGAAAUUAAAAAAAUGAGCAAAAUUGUAUGGGUCGAAUGAUCUAUAUAAAAAAAAUCGAUUCAAUCAUCUUAGAUACAAAAAUGAAAUGAACGAAAUUGAUGAUUUAUCCAAAUCGAUGGAAUUGUCUGCCCAUUGGUAGUUUCAAAAAAUUCAUUGUGAUUUAUUAGUCUAUGAGCCUUCAGAAAUCAAAAUUUGGCCUUAACAUACUUAUCAUUUCAACGAUGAGGAAUUUGUGAAUUUCUUCAACUUAAUGUCCUUUACGCAAGGGAUUUUUACCAAUUCUGAUAAAAUGACCAAAAGGUGAUUAUUAAAGGCUCAUAUUCUAAUGCGUAAAAACUAUUCCAUUAUUUUCAAUGCCGUCACACGGAAGGGAUCGAAUCCUACCUUACCUUGUGCACUACCCUUUUGGAUAGUACAAAAAAUAUAAACGUGCAAGUCUCAUUGGAUUAUAUAUCCGAGACACAAGGCGGUUUAUGCCUAACGCGGGAUUCCCUAAACGGCGUUCCCUUCCAAGGUGGAUGCAUGAUGCCAGUUUAUCAAAGCGACUAAAUAUGCAGUACAUAAAUGAAACAUGACUUAAAGGAACCCUUUUUGUAUGUCGUAGUGAGCCUAAAAUGAAAUGUAUUCAUGCUACAAAUACGAAGCAUUGAAUUUAAACGUGUCACAUCAAAUAGGGUAGGCUCCUAAAGAGUACCAUGCUAGAACUCUUAUUUUCUAGGGCUUAUGAAUGUAAUGGAGACAAAAAUCAAGAAAAGUUAGUUCAAUCAGAUAAAUACACAUAACACAUUGUAGCAAAGCAAUACACAGAGAUAAAACAAUAAAAGGAAAAGAGGGGUUGGAUCCCUCCCCUAGUGAUUAGUGUCCCUAAUAGGGUAAGACAGACUCUACCCUAGAUAAACUAUCAUGGAUGCAUGAGGUAUUGGCUCACUAAUGCAUCUAGACUCGAUAGGUUUUAAGGUCCCCGAUCCUUCAGAUUUGGAAACCAAAGGUCAUCACUCCCAAGGUUCUUUGUCGGUGGCUCGAGCGAUUCCCCAAACACCGCUACGCACACAUCGUGUCACGGCUACGUGUUUGAGUGAAUCUAUCAAAAAUCCUCAACCUUCGAUUAAAAACUAAAGGCUAUCAACCCAAAGCUUACAAUGGAAGAUUGAAUGACCCCUCGGAUCAUGCUACGCACACAUCGUGUCGCGAUCACACGUCCAAGUGGGUCGCCUAAUCCUAAUAGGGAAGAGUGGCAUGACAAGCCACUAAAAGAAAAAUAAAUGAGGGAUAAUAAAGCGUAUGCACGUAUGCUAGUGCUCGGUUUGGAAGGGAGGGAUCGAGAACCAAUGCGAGACUCUAGGGUAAAAUCCCCCACCCAAAUGCAAUGCAAAGCGCGGGAUAGCAUAAAUAGACCAUUCAUCCAUCAAAUCAAUCGUACGCAAAUGGGUGAGGGAGUGAGUGGGUACGCGCGAAAUGCAAAAAAAAUCCUAAAAAAGAAAAAAUGCAACCCUAAACAUCCAAAUGUGAUACAUGAAAAGAGUAGAAAAGAAAAAGAAUAACUAAAUCAAAUGCUCGGACCCACUUAGAAAGUCCCCAGUGGAGUCGCCAAGUUGUCGCGUCCCAUUUUUCGCGAUGGAAAAGAAAGUGUUUAUAAAAAGAUGUGAUUUAUUAAUAAUAAAUGAAAAAGGACCUAGAAUGGGACUUAAAAGAAUGCGACAAUUUGGGUCCAAAAUUUAGUCUAAAAGGGUUUUUAAGAAAAAAUAGGAGUCGCCACUUGGUAUGGAGUUUUGGUGUACCAAGUCACCCAAAAAUAAAGUAAAAUAAAAUAAAACCCUUUUUGACAAACUCCAGGUCUUUGAAAACAAGAGAAAAUGGGUUCGGGAGUCACGGUUGAAGAAAGGGAAGGCAAAGGUUCAAUUGACUCAAACCUAAGGCACCCUUUCAACCUAGUCUAAGCUAGUUGCGAGGUUUAGUCAAAAUUUUCCUAAUCUAACCCUUAAUUUUAUCAUAUUUGGAUGUUUCCUAUAUGGAUGCAAAUUUAAAUAUAUCGAAAGGGACAAAAUGUUCAUUCAAGGGGUUUAAUUGAACCAAUCGCAUUAAUUGCGAAGGCCAAAAUAACUCCUUGAAGGUGUCACGAGUAUGCAAAUGAUGAAUUUAAAGUAAAGAAAAGAAAAGAAAUUAUAUACAUAUAUAUAAGUGAUCAAAGAAAAAGGGAAUGCAACAUAAAGGGUACGGGAGGCAAAAACUCGUGACAUAAUUUUCUUAUACAUGGAUUAAUAGGGUAUUUAAACUAAAAAGUUAUAAUCACCCAUUUCCCAUGUUUGAAAAAUAAUUAUCCUAACAUGAACAAGCAAAUGAACUAGCUUAAAUGAGAUGCAAUUCUAAAUGACAUGAUUUGUACCUACAGAGGGUAAGGGAUAAUAUAAUAGGGAAUAUCAUGCAAAUGAGAAAAGAUCCUAAAAAUGAAAAUAUGCAUGAAAAUGUAGUGAAUAGCACACAAAGAUGAAUCUAACGCAGGACGGCCUAAAGGGUCUAGCGUUGGACUAGUCCAUUUCUAAAAAUCCUUACUAGCAUUGGACUAGCAAGUAAACGGAAGGAGAAGCCACAACUAGCGUUGGACUAGUGUGGUGACGUCAUGCAUUAACAAUUCAUAGUGAAACAAAUAAAACAUAAAUCAAAACAAAUAAACACAUAAGAGCACGUAGCACAUAACACGUAAAUAUAAUAUCUAGAUGCCAAAAUCCUAAGAAAAGCGGAUAAAACACAUAACACAUAAGCCACAUAAACACGCAACCUAUCUAUUACAUCGGGGAGCGCCUAACUACAAUCUAGAAGGGAAAAAUAUAAUAAAACAAAUCUAAUUAUCCUAUCUAUUACAUUUUUGAGGUAUUUAAAUGCCUCUUGAAUCAUUGUAAAAAUUAACUAAAACAUAUAUAAGAAAAUUUGAAUGAAUAUUUAACUCAAAUAAAUAAAGCAUAUAAAAAUAUAAACACAUAGGAACACAUAAGAGCACGUAAUUGACAUUGAAAUAAUAAAAAUAGGGGUACCUCCCGUUUGAAGUGGUGACUAAAUGGAGUCAAAUUGUCCUAUUUAUACUCACAAUGAACAAAAGGAUCAUGGCACCAAUUUAAUUGAAAAAGAAAAUAAUAAUACAAGCACUAAAUUCACACUAAUAUGUCAGACGUAAAGAAAUUUAAGCAAAUCUAAAAAUUACAAGUUAAGUAUAUUCAAAAGUAGCAUAAUUAGCUAUUAAAGAAAAGAAACAAUCAUAAUGAAGAGAGUCAAAAUUCAUCAGGGACUGAAUUGCAAAAAUUGAAAAAAACUUUUGGGGAUAAAAAUUAUAUUUUUCCAAAGUUUAGGGGUCAAAAUUAAAUGAAAGACAAAAUUCAGGGACCAAAAUGCAAUUAAUUUAAGGACCUAGGUGAAAGGAAAUUAAUGUUCUGGGCCGCAGUGAAAGUACUUGAAAGCACAGGGACUGAUAUGCAAAAACAUUUUCUUAUUCCUUAACAAAUCAGGCCACUGGGCCAUCAUUUUAUUUAUUUCUGGGCAAAAAACUACCUAAGCCCAACCGAAACUCAAAGGAAAAUAAAUGGCCCAGCCCAUUCCUUUCGUCAAACAAACCCAGCUGAAAUACAUGGGCUUCAACUCCCAAACCCAUGCGUAAAACCCAAAAAAAAAAUAACCAAAACCCAAGUCAAAACCCAAUUAAAAACAAACACAAGCCCACUAAAACAAAUAGCCCAUUUCCUUUUUCUUCUUCUUUUCUUUUCUUUCUUUUCUUUCUCCUUCUCCCUUUCCGUUUCCUCUUCUUCUUGUUCGGCCAGCUGAAGAAAACUUCAGCUGGUGGCCAUGGCGGCUGCCGGUGGCGCCGCCGCCGCCGACCGCCACCGCCGGUGACCUCUCCGGUCACCAAAAAUCCUCAAAAUACACCCCCUCACUCGAUUUUUCGCGCAGACUCCAUUUCCGGAGUUAGUUUUAACAAAAAUUGGCCCUAAAGUGGCCAAAAAGCCAAGAAAUCAGUCCAGUUUUAAUUUUCUUAAAACCUUUAAACCCCCACCAAAAAUCAUAAAAAUUAUGCCACAACACUCUUGCAUCUCCUACAAUACAAAUAUGAUUUUAUUUUGACAAGAAAACAACAUAAAAUGGACAAAAUAAAGCAAAACAGCCCCUAAAAUUCUUUUUGGCAUUUUUUCAAACAAUUAACAUGCAUUCACAAGAAACAUUUCCUUUUCCUUUAUCUGGUUCAUGCUAUUUCCCAAAUUUCAGCAAUACCACAACAACAAUGCAAAGUAGCAAGCAGAAACGAAAGAAAACUAAACAAUGAAGCAUUGAUUUAAUGUGCUAGACAAAACUAAAAAUUACCUCAAUGUAGGUGUGUGUGAGGUUGAGAUGGAACCGAGAGGAGUUGGGGAAGAUUUUUUUUCCUUCUCUGUUUCUUUCCUCCACCCAAGUCCGAGAGAGUGAGAGUGAGGGGUCAGGCUGCAAAAUUCCGAGAGCUUCCCUUCCACUUCUCUCGUGCGUUUCCUUUUUUUUUUUCUGCCUCUGCCAAGUGAGCCCAGAGGGAUUGGAGUGCCUUUUUUUGUGGCUUGUCCCCAUGGCAGCCAAAGAGAGCCGAGAGAUACUUGUAGCCAAAAUGGAGCUUGUGUGCUCAAUCUUCCAAAAUGAUGAUCUCUCAACUAAUGAAAAGACCAGUCCAUGGCCAUUGAGUGUGAAAUGGGUUAAAUGUAUUUUGGUAGAGAAAAUGAUUAUGAUGAUUUUUUUUUGUUUGGUUUGUUUUUCUUUUCUUUUCUCUCUUUUUUUUCUUUUUUUCAAGCAAACCUGCAAAAAUGAGAAAAAUGCACAUUAAAAUGCUAGAAAAUAAAUAAUUCAUUAAAUAGAAAAAUAUUGAGAAAAUAUUAAAAAUUGACAAAAAUUUGGUGUCUACAAAGAGAUUUGGAGAAAAUUUGUGUUAAAUGGAUUGCUGCAAAAAUUUCGGAAAAAAAAUGCAAAAGGAGGAAGAUCGUGGGCUGAACCAGAGUUGUUCUGAUUUUCCUUGGCUGCCAUCUUGUGUGUUUGCUCAAGAUACUCUGUAGUUUAGCAACCAACUCUUGCAUGUGGAUUUUAACGAACAAAAACGAAGCAAUUUGUUGAGAGAGAGAAGGAUAGCCGAGAGGGAGGGAAUUAAGUGAGAACCAUUUUUCCUUUCCAAUUUCAAUUCUGUGAACUCUCUUAUCUGACAUUUGAUGAUACUCUGUAGUUUAAUCAGUAUAUUAACUCAAUGAAUUGGGUUUAAACUGAAUGAAUUAGGGAGGAAAAGCUAUGAAAUGCGUAGUUCCUUACUUCACAGCCGAGAGAGAAGAAAAAAUAGACUGAUCAGUUUUCUUUUCCUCUAAGUGAGCUGAAAAAUCUUUUGUGUGCUGUACAAGGCUCAUUUGUAGUUUAAUAAACGUGGUUAACAUGUCUAAUUGGGCUAAAAACUUGGAAGAAGGAACUUGAGUGAAACGGCAAACAUUGGGCCGAUAUAUACACAUAACUAAGGGAUUGCUUAAAAGCUGUGAUAGUUAAGACUGAUUUGUGUGCAUAGUUUGAACAAACCAUUGGUUACAAUUAAAUGUUUCUUAUCCUAAUACAUGUUAGAUUAAAUGUAAGUUAAGUAGCUGGUGGUUUAAUCAAGUGAAAAAUGAAGUUAUUGGAUGAAAACUUGAAGUUUUGUUGCUGAAUUUAUGUAGAUAGGUUGUAUGGCAAUGAGUUAAAACUUAUUUGAUAUUUUGGAAACUCUAAAGUAAUUUGUUAUAGCCGUAUUCAUGAAAUGACUUCUAAUCGCUUAAAAUUGGUUUUCUUAGUAAUUCAAAGACUAUAAAUUGUGAGAGGUGAAGGUUGUGGACUAAGUUAAUUUACAAAUAACUUAAAGUUUAGUUGAAAAAGGGAGUGGAGUAUCUAUAAGUCAUAAUUAAUAUUGGAUUGAGAAAGUAUAGUGGAUUGAAUGAGUAUACAAGUUAAACUUGAAGAUAGGUAUGUUUCAUGGUUUGAAAAUGAUAAAGUUAAUAAGUUUUGAAAAUAAAAGGAUAAAUGAAUAUUAAGAAUGUUAAAUUUAUAUAUUAAGGUCAAACUUGAUUUUAAUAGUUUAAAUAAUAAAGUAAGAAUGAUAAGUGAUCACUUACGAAUUAUAAAUUUACCAUUGAAAUUAUUAAUUUGCCCAGGAAGUAGCUGUGAGCCAGGAAACAAACCCGAGACUCAAGAGUAAUUUACUUGGAUAAUUGGUGAGUGUUUCCGAAUUUACGUGUUUAAUUGUUUAUGUGUACUUGAGUGAAAUUAUGUGACAAAUGAACUUAUUAUGAAAUAUUGCUAAGUGAUUCAUUGCAAAGUGUAUCUCAAUUGUCCCUUGCCUUCUAAGUCGGGAGUGUACUUUAUCGCACUCGGCUUAGUUGCGCUUGAAGGUUGAUAAUUGAUCAAGUGAUAUUGUAAGUGUGCAUGACUGUAAGCCAUGUGUGUACUUUAUCACACUGGCUGAACUGGGCCCCAAAACUCUCUGUUCAAUGGACUAUUCGAGCCAGCAAAGGGCUUGGUCGGAUUGGACAGUAGCUUUGGGUAAGUGUUUCGGUAUACUCGAGUAUUACCACGGAGUAGCAGAUUACUGAUAUUGAUAUGGCCAUCCAAGUGAGGGAAGUGUUUAUUGUUUUGGAGGUUAUAAGGAGGAGUUCGGCGGAGUGUGUAGUGCAUUGAAGUGGCUCUAAUGCGAGCACCGUAUCCUUUUAAAAAGUGAUUGUUCAGUGAAAUGAUUCCUCAAUUGCUUAAUGAAAGUGAUUGUACAGUGAAAUGUGCACUACUUGCUUAAUUGUACUGAUUUAAGUGCUUAUUGAUUGUUGCUUGCAUGGAAACCUCACGGGCGUAAACUCACCCUUUUAGCUUUGUUUUCCUUACAGGAGUCGGAGAUUGAAGAGUGAUUGGAUUGAACUAGAAAGUUAUUUUGAGAAGAUCCGUUAUUCUGUGUAUAUAGUGUAGUCAUGGUCUCUUUUGAAUUUUGAGACGGUUGAAUUUUGUUUGAGUUGUGUGAUAUUAAGAUUGGAUAUUUAGAACAAGUAUUUUGUUUCUUUUAUUGGACAAAUUUAUGUUUCAAACUGAGUGGAGUUGUACUUAAGAGUGAAUGUUCAGUUGUUCAAUGAUAAUGUUAUCUCCGAAGUUAAAGUGAGUGAGUGAGUCCUGGCGAGAGUCAGGCAAGCGAUCCGCUAACUUCUAGGGUAUGCCCUGGGAGGAGGUGGGGUCGUCACAAAAUGAGCAAAAUGUGAUAAAAGGGGUAAUUUUUCAAGAAUUACUGUCAAGUCUAGAGAUGACAAGAUUCACGUAAGGCAGUUUCCUAAUUCAAACCGAAGACUUACGAAGCAUGUUUUCAAAUACAGUUGGGAAACAUUUUCGAUUAUGAGGAAAUAUCUUCUUCUUAGAAAAAUUAGGAAGUUUAAUGUAUUUGGGAAACUAGAAAAUAGGAAAAGAAAAGGCCGGCUCCCGUUUGAUUACUACUUCUUAGGAAAGAAAAGAGGAAGCUAGUCUAUUUUUAUUCCUUCUUUCACGUUUGGAAAGGGACAGUGAGUAGUAGGUUAUUUCUUUUACUUUAUUUUCGGCCGUAAGCCGAGGGGAACAAUUAGAACAUUGUUGCUACAUUUUUCUUUUGAUGUACUUCGAAUAAAUAUAUCACUGGCGGGGAGAUCAUCCAUGUAAAAGAGCUCGACUAUUUUGUAUGGGAUUUUCUCAACGGAGAUGAACUAGAUUUCUACUUCUAGUCAAAGGCCAACUUAAAGGCACGGUUCUAAAUAUCUGUGAGAUCGCAUUAAUUUUAUUUAUUUCUUUUAUUCAUUGGUGUUUGUACGUUUUCUGAUUUAAUUGCUUAUGCUUGUUAUGUUAUUUGAAUGUCAAGGGCCCGAUAUUCGAAUUACCCUGAUGAUCUAAUGCCAAAUUAAUUGAUUGAAUCUGUAAUUGUUCAAUUGAUUAAUACUAGUGGCGACUAGCGUGAUUGGUUUCAUUUUAGGGAAACAUAUGAUCCAAUUUAAACAAACCCUCGUAGCAUGUUUGUUGGUUAGGGUUGAGCUUUUCUAAUUAUUAAUGCAAUCGAGGAAUUAAAUCCAACGGUCGUUCCUAGGGUUAUUUCUUGAUUAUAGAAAUAAUUAACGAUCGUACCUUGGCUAUCGAUAAAGUAAGGAAAAAUUGGUUAUCAGAGCUUGUUGAUGGCUAUAACUAAUCUAGUAAUGAGUAAUUGAAUUAUCUUUGCAUCGAUGAUCAGUUGAAUGGACCGUAUCUGAAAAGUUGUACCUUUGGCUAGAGUUGUAUUGGUUAUUGAUUAAUUUCUAUUUAUUUCUAUUAGUUAUUUUAUAAGUUGGUUAAUUAGUUAUUUUACAUUUUCUAAAAAUCCCCCUUAUUCUGAACUCUGGAAGAAACGAAUUCUCGCCAGUCCCUGAGGAGACGACUCUGCUUGCCACUGUCUACUAGUUAGUAAAUUUAGUCAGCUAAUUAAUUCUGGUAUAUCGGAUUAAGCAAACUCUUCGAGAACAGGGUGAAUCAAGUAACCCAUUGCACACCUAGAGUCCCUGCUCCAGUACCUAGAAUUGAUUAUUGACUGCUUUUGGUGGUAGUUAGGUUUUUUUAUUAUUAUUGCACAGGUUCGGCACCUGUCACCUAUACUUACUGAUGAGAACUUUUGUACAAAGUGCAUCUUUUUGUUUUGAAGCUCUCUAGCUCAACUUUGCUAACAAGGCUUUAUUAGCAAUUUUUAUCCUUCUGAUCCCCAAACCCCUACAUGACUUUAACUUUGUUACUAUGUCCCAAUGCAGAUGAGGAAUCUUCUUUCCCUCAUCCAAGUCGCCCUAAAGAAAACCCCUCACAUAAUUCUUUAUUUCUUCAACUAUUGCAUUCGACAAUAGGGCUAUUUGCAUGGCAUAUGAGGGAAUGGCUAUUAGUAUUGAUUUGAUUAAGGUGGUCUUUCUUAUAAGUGACAAAAUUUCCUCUUUUAUCCAGCUAACUUUUCCGCACUUUAUCAACUAUAUCACUAAAAUUAUGCCUUGUGACUCUACUAUGUAGGCAUGCCUAGAUACUUUCCCAACUCUUGUAUGAGUGGAAUUCUUAUUUGCAGUUUUGAGAAAUUUGCUCUUUUAAUGUUGAAAUUUGGUGAGCAACAGAAAUAUCAUUUGAUUCGUCGAUCCUCAAAAAAAGAAAUAAGCAAAGUUCAGUCAUUAAAUGACAAAUGGGAAAUUUAUAGAAAGUUACAAUCUCCACUGCGGAAUAGUGCACCUACACGCCUUCAUCGACGUUGUUUUGCGACCGGAAGACCAAGAGCUAAUUAUCGAGACUUUGGAUUGUCCGGACAUAUACUUCGUGAAAUGGUUCAUGCAUGUUUGUUGCCAGAAGCAAGAAGAUCAAGUUGGUAAGGAUUAACCCUUGAUUUCUAUUCUAUGAUCGGUGAUCAUAGAAGUCCCCUUUACCAUUCUGUAUAAAUCAGCUAUUCUACAUUUUGACUUACUGUUACUCACCUUCUACCCAAACAAUCCACUGAACUAUCUCAAAAUGUCUCCCAUUAUAUCAACUUAUUGGUUAUUGGCUUCUGCAAAUUGCAAAAGGUCAUCUACAUAAAGUAAGCAUGUCAUAGGAACUCCGACUUUAAAGCCUUUACUGGUUUCCAUUUCUUCCUAUCAACUACUUCAUUGAUGAGCUGUCCCAACCUCUUCAUACACAUCACAAAAGGGUACAAAGUUAAACGAUCUCUCUACCAAAGGCCUCCACUCCAUAAUAUCUCCAUAGAAUUGGCCUACACACAUUGCAUGGUCAAUUCGACCAAUUCAUUUGGAAACUUUAUAAGUUCUAAAGUUUGCUUGAUAAAACUCCAUCUAAUGCCAUCAUAGGCCUUUUCCAAGUCUAUUUUAACUGCCAUGCCCUUCAUUUUGUUCACAAAGUGUAGGAUAUCUUGACUUAUAAAAGUAUUAUCAUAUUCCUAUCUUCCUGGGAUGAAUCUGCGUUGGUCUGGACCAACAAAUCAAUCAUCAAUGGUCUAUUUCUCUCCACCAGAAUUUUGGUAAUCAUUUUGAUGCGAACCCGAAUCUCUAAAUCCCCGCUCUUGAACAGUCAAUUUACACUGGCAGUGGAAUGAUCUAUCUUGACCAAGUUAUUGAAUAGAUUAAAUGAAAAACUCAACCCAACAAUCUGCCAAAGAUGCGAACCUAUUGACACUAUUUCAACCUGAUACCUUCAAAAGAAUGUGAACCUUGGUAUGGGUAGAAAGGUGCCACAAUCAACCGUGGUUGAUUGAUAAUCCAAAACUUGAAGACAAAGGAGACACACUCACUUUGUAUCAAGGGUGUUCACAAAGAAACAAAAAAGAGAAAACUUUUAAAUUUUAUUCAUCAUAGUCUCCCUCUACAAAAGCAUAGAAACGACUUCUUUAUAGCCACAAUACAAAUCCAAACGGGCCAAAACUAAAACUACUUAACUAACUAAACUAAUGACCUAAUUUAAGGCCCAAAUUAAGCUUUAAGCUGGCCAAUUAUUCUAUCUAUCUAAAAAGGCCCAAAUGACUUAAUUAAAACCCUAACUAUCCAAUGGAUCCAACAAGCAUGCAUUGAUUGCUUUAUUCAAUCAAUAAAAGACUCAACUAUGCAAAGACUAAAAAUAAAGGACUUUAGGCUUUAAUCAAUAUAUAGUUAACGUUUUAUGGGUUCAAAAAAAAUGUUGUUCUUUCAGGAAAUUAAAAACCAGCAUACCACGUGACAACAUUGGUUUUCGCAGUCUUUGGCUUGAGAUAAGGGAUUAGCACUUAUCUCUCAUUGUAAUAAUAAUGAAAUAAAUGAAAAAUUUUACUCUCAUUGAACCAUCAUUCAUUUUGGUCAUUUGACACUAUGAGUUCAUAUUUCCUAUAAUAAAAUUGCAAAAUUGAUUUUUUUAAUACUAGUUAGGUUAGAUGCAUUACACACAUACGAAGAUAGAAUUACAAAUUUGAAUCAAGGUUACAUGCCAUGCAUCCAUGAAAAAAGGUUAAAAAACAAAUCUUUAUACUUGCAGUUUAGAAUAAUUAGUUUUUUUUUUCAUCAAUGUAAUGACUAAAACAACUCAUUUGAAUAUUUUCUUGGAAUUAAAAAUUUUGGACAAUAGUGUGGGCUUUUUAAUGAUUUAAACAACAAAAAAUAGGAAGAGAAUAAAUGACAAUAAAAAUAGGAAAGAAUUUAUACUUUCAAACAAAACAAAAAAAUUUACUCAACAUGUCUAUUGGAGUUAUAACCUGUGAUUUAAAACUCGGACCGGACCGGCCGGUUUGGCUAGUUCUUCGAUCCGAGUUAGUAUAAAAAAUUGGGUGAAAGAGACUCGGUCAAAAAUUUGGUUUGAUCGUGAACCGGUAAAACCCAAAAAAUUGGGUUUUUGCAUUUUUUUUAUCUUGAAUUUUCAUUUUUUUGGACGUUUUUAUAUUUUCCUAAACAACUAACAAUAACACAGCAACUAUAAAGCUUGCGAUUUGGUCAAAUUUUUAACAAAUUUGAAAUCAAACAAAAAAUAAAAUAAAAAUGUAUGAAAUGAUGAAAAGAAAAAAUAAUAGGUCAAGAAAUCUCACAUGAAAAAGGGUGAAAAGAUCUAAAAUUUAAAAAAAAUCAAGAAUUGUAGAAAAGGAAUAAAAGAGAAAGAUAAGAAGAAGAGAACGUUAAAAAAAAAAAAAGAAAUCGUUAUCCAAAAAACAAAACACUAACAAAACACAUGACCUAGAAACUUUGUGAUGUAAGACUAGAAGGUGGAAAGCUUCUACGGCGGAUAGGUUGAAAAGAAGAAACAAGAAGGAAUCCUUUAUAAGUUAAAAUAUUUUUCUCAUAUUAUAUUUUGACCCCUCAGUAUUUUAAAUAAUUAUAAUUACACACGUAGAAUUCUUUUAUUACUCAUUUGAAGCCUUACUUUUUUUCAUUUCUACAAUGAUGAUAUUUUGAUUUUAGAUUCAUCAUCUUAUAGAACUGAGACUCAUUAAUGUUAUUAUAUCUUACCUAAAAAGGUUCUAUCAAAGUACUUUGUAUACUUUAUCAUUAAUUUGACCUCUUAAUAUGCAGGAGAUAUGGGGAAAGAUUGAAAUCACUAUCAGUACAUAUUUAUUCUAUUUAAUAUAUAAAAAUAUUUUUAUGACAUCAUUUAGUUCGAUCUUGAGCUUAAUCAGUCGAACCUAUUAACCCCUGACCUCUAAACUCUACCGAAUCAUUACCUGGUCCAAGUUUCAAAAUAUUGGUUAUAACCAAAAAUAUUAGUUAUAUCAAGUUCCUUAUAGAAUGUAUGAGUAUGGUUAUGUUGCUUGUAAUGAUGCUUCCAAUCGUCAAUGUCUUAAAUUAUCAAAGUGCUUAAUGGUGAUUGCUCAAUUUAGGUAGGCCACUAAGCUAGGUCUUACCUAAAUCCAACUCACACCCAUCAUAUUUUUAAGGGUUAAUAACAAAAAAGUCCCCUUUGCUAUACCUAAUAUACAGAAAAGCCCCCCAUGGUUUCAAAACAUACAAAAUGACACCUUAUGUUUUGAAUUAAAUUAUAAACUAAUAGAAUUCGUUAAAUUUAACGGAAUUCGGUAAACUUAACGGAAAACUUAACGAAAUUCGGUAAAUUUAACGGUAAAUUUAAUGGAAUCCAGUAAGUUUAACGGCCAAAAUCGUCAUUUUCGUUAAGUUUAAUGAAUUCUAUUAGUUCACAAUUUAGUUUAAAAUAUGAGGUACCGUUUUGUAUGUUUUGAAAUCACGGGGGGCCUUUUUGUAUAUUAGAUAUACCACAGGGGGCUUUUUUGUUUUUAACCCUAUUUUUAAUGAGUUAGGUUGUGACAGCCCCACCUCCCCCUAAGGUGAACCAAAGGGUUCGGCAGACCGCCUGUCCAACUCUCGCCAGAAUUCACUCACUCACUACAGUCCUCAAAUAUAAUACAAUGUAAAUCUCAAAUAUACAUCAAUUCCUCCAUGAAUAUACAUAUCAAAAUGAAGCAAAUACUUGUUCCCAAGCGUGGAAUGUACACAUACAUUCGUUCAAUUCCAAACAUUCAAACAAUCCCAACUAUUACACAAGAUGAAUCUAAAACAAACUGUACAUGAGAUAAUCCAUCCAAUCACACGAAGAAUUUAAUACCAGUGCUUCCUUUACCUUGAGCCUUGUGGGGAGAAAAUAUGUUUUAGGAUGAGCUAGAAACUCAACGAGUGUCCAGUAAAAAUCAGAAAUCAAAUAAGCUUCACAAUAGUGCAUUUCGAUGAUGUCAUGAAUCAAUGAUCAAAUAUACGUUUAUUGCUCUUGUGAGCCAGGAAAAUCAUUGUACUUAAACAUCCAACUCUCAAACAGAUCCAGUAACAGUCAAACGGUAAUAGGGAGCCAUCGAUGCUCCAAAUAAAUAGUGGUGGAGACGUUGAGUUUAAACGAAUUCCAAGCACUCUUUUGAGCCAAAACAAUUCAUGGCACACACACAAGCACACAUGAUAUGCAAUCGAGUAACCAAUGCAACAAUUAGUUCGAGAAGUAACUUUGGAAAUAGUUGUGGAAUCACUCACCAACCACAGCUCAUGAACCUCAUCCGUCAUAGACAAUUUCCUUGAUCAAGUCCAAGUCCUAGAUCACAAAUAUCAAGAGUUAACUCAAACUCAAAGCAAUCAAAUGCCCUCAAAGAUUGGACAGCAUUUUCCCUUAAUUUCCUUAUUUUCCCAUCCUACAAUACAUCACCAAUAACAUCUCAAUUCAAUCAUAAUUACACGUACAAAUCAUAGGCCAUACAACACACCUAAUUAGGUCACAAUACCCCUUAAAUCUUAACCAAUUAAGAGCUCAAUAACCAACCAUAAGAAAGCCCCAAAUUUGAAACCCUAAAACUGAAAUUUUUCGCACAAAUCAGAAAUUUUCCGCAAACAACCACAACUUACACACAAAGGCUCCAUUUGACACCAUAUCAAGCUAUCAUUCUAUGACCAACCAACAAUUAUCAUAUAAAAUCAGAAAAUUCACUAGUAAAUCAGAAAUUUGUCAAACUCUACUUAAAAUCAUGAAAUCUUUCACAAAAUAGCAUAUUUAGCCAAUAAAACCACUAAUCCACCCUUAUUAAGAAUAAAGAGGGAAUUUCUUAUCAACUCACCUUAUAACCACAAGAAACAAGGUAGCUUAGUGCUUCCCCUUCACCAAAGACUCCACCAAAGCCUUUAAACCUCCUUAGUGAGCACUUGUAUGGAGUAGAUUGCAAAACUAACGGUGAAAUCUCAAGUUUUGGACAAGGAAUUGAAAUAGAAAAUGAAGUUUCCUCUCUUGUUUUCUCUCUCAAAGCAGCCGGCCAAGAAGAAGCAAAAUGUAGACAAAGUUUAGCCAAGAAACAAGAUAAGAAUGAAGGAAAACAGCCGGUCAAACUUGGCUGCCAAAGGUGCCACGUCACAAUCUGGCCAAGAUCUGGCCGGAUUGCUGGUCGGAUUCGUGGUAGUGGCGAAAUCAAAAUUUUUUUUCCAAAACCCCUGCCAAUCCGACCAACAACUGGCCGGAUUUCCGGCCGAAUUCUCUAACAAAUACUGUUCACCAGAAAUUUCCUUUCUUCUUCUUUCGGGCGUCACAUAGGUCAACUCCUAGAUCAAGCUCCUGUAUUUUUUAUCCAAAAUUUUAAAAUAGAGACCCUAUUCUAGACCUCAUAAGGGACCCCAUAAAAGAAUAUUAGUUUGAGUACAUCUAUGGUUUAGACUCAAACCUAAACCCUAUCCAAACACAAUAUUAGGCGAUAAUAUUUCAAGAAUAUAUAAUUAAACGAUAGAUUUCGCACUUUUAGCUCGUAUUCCUUAUGAUGCAACUUUAUUGAAUGCUAAUUUGUUACUUGAAAAUAGUAAUCAGAUUUUAUUAAUGUUAUUUUGAAAUCCAUAAUUUUAUUGUUGGUAAAAUUAAAUUUUCAAUUCCAUAUUAUAAAAAUACAAUUUUGAUCACCUAUUGAGUACACAAAACUAAAUCACAUGAAUAUUAACCCGGAGAGGAUUCGAUCAUCUCCAAACCAAACCAGCCAUGGGUGUAUGUGCACUAUGGAACCCCCCAAAAAGGACUCAAGAAUUCCAUCACCACCAGACCAAACGAGUCACAGGUGCACUAUAAAAACCAUUGAAUUUUAAAUUUUUGUAAGGCAAGAGAUUGGAUGCCCCAUCUAGCAACCCAAGAGGGACUUCAAGUCCCUCUUACUGCUGUUGGACUAACGGUCUGUGGGUGCUUAUUCAAUUGAAUGUCUAUUCUAUAAAGUGCAUUAAAUAUUACAAAUUGGCAACGAAAAGAAAAAAUAAAAGGCUGCAAGUUGCUAUCCUAAUCAGAACUUAGAGUUACCAGUCGUACUUGUUGGGCCAUAAAAUAGUGCGACAUAGAGAAAGGAAGGCUAGGGCAUGCAAGAAGGCCCAAAUGAGUUGACAAGGUAAAAAUGCUGGUCAAUAAAUUGAUGGAGGUUAGAAGAUAGAUAAGCGGAUUGGCAAACUCAAAACAGUUGAUGAAGAGAUGGGACCUUCAUCCCAAAAGAAGGGUAAAAGAUGAAAUAUCCGGCAAUUGAGGCUACAAAAGUAAAAAGUGUGAUUAAGGAACACACAACUCUUUCCAGCCAAAAACAUCAGUCUUAUUUCCUUUUUUACGUAUUUCAAUGCAUUAGCUAAGUUUUCCAAGUCAAAGUAUUUUCAGCAUAGGUCUAGUUUAGUCCGAUUAAAAAACAAUUAAUUGGUGAAAGAAAUCUUUGUAGUUGAUCAUUCUCGAGAAUGCAACUUUAUAUCAAACGCUGUUCAUUAUUAUUGUAUAUUUUUAAUUAUUUUUACUUUGUUUAAUUCUUAACUCGUGUGUUCAUUUAAUUUAUGUUCUACAAGUGUGAUGGAUUGUAAACCUAUUUGCGUUCUUUUGGUGGAUAUGGUACCAAAGGCUCUAUUUGGAUUUAUCAUUUUUCUCACCGAUUAUUUUUUGUUUAUGGGAUCCAUUGUAAUAAACUCCAAAACAACUUAAAAAACAACUCCAAAAAUACACAGUAUCAAAUACUAGAACCUAAUAGUUUAAGCUUUUGGGUCAAAGUUGGAUUCGUGACUUACAUAUUGGCUCUUUAGUAUGCUCUCUCGAGGUGUUUCUCCCUAACAAGUGGUAUCAAAGCUCGUUCUAGUUAAUUAUUUGAGAUUGAAUGCUCGGUGGUAUACCAUGGAAUUUGGAACUAUACAGUUUCUAAUUCAACUGUUUAAUGGAACUACAACUUUCACUCUUUGGCAAAGAAGACUGAAGAAUGUUCUAGUUCAACAGGGCUUGGCAAAAGCGUUGAUGGUAAAGACAAGAAGCCAGGGAGCAUGAAAGAUGAUGAGUUUGAAGAGUUGGACACAGGGUGUGUGAGCACAAUUCAUCUCUAUGUGGUGGACAACAUUAUAAAUAAUGUGAUAGAUGAGAAAGAUUCUGCAGCAGACCUCUAGAAAAAAUUGAAAAAGCUUUAUGAUAAAUAUAUAUUUUACGUGUUUUAAGUCUGUUUUAUUAGUUAGUUUUGGUGUGUUUUAGUUACUUUUAUAGCUAAUUAACUCAGAUUUUAGUGAAAAUAUACAUUUUAUGGUUUAAAGUGUAAAAAUUACAUUUCUAUGGAUUUUAAUUGUGAAAACUUCAUGUUUUUAUAGGUUUAAUGAUUCAAUCAUCAAACGGAGUGACUUGAGAAGAUAAAUGCAAGUUUUCCAGUUUUGACACCUCAUGGUAUUUCGGCUAUAUCUUGAGUUACACUCAUCGGAUUGAGGUGAUUCGUAUACCUUGAAGCUAAGAGAUAGACCUACAUUUAGUAUGAAGACAUCGAAAUCUAGUUAGUCAUUUUCCUUGUCAAAAAGUCAAAAUACAGAAGUGCAUAUGCAUGGUUAAAAGCUGAAACGGAGCUCUGACCAGUUGAGGAUAUUGUGGUCAUUUGUCGGUUCACAAAACUCCAAAUUGGAUGAUUCUUGAAGAAUUGGAAAGCUAACUCAAAGGGUACAACUUUCAUGUUUUGCACAAGAGUUAGUCCACCUUCCAUCAUUGAGAAAAUAGCAGUUGAAGUGAUGCCACAUUCACAGAAGUGAAAACACGACUUUUGAAUACGCGAGCUGAAGUCGCCUAUUCUUGCCUGAUUUCUGCAACUUGCUCAGCCAUUUACUCCAUUUUUACACUACUUUCCAGCUCUACUUCAGACAAGAAUUUUGGCUGCACAUGUUCAAGGGACCUUUUGGAAGAAAAAAUGAGCUUUAUGUCAUGUCUAAAACCACUUUUUGACUCUCUUAACAUUAGAGAUAUGAGAAUCAUUAGAGAAAGAGAGAGUAGGACAUGAGAAGGAGUUAUCAUCAGAUUUUAGCAUUAGAGCUUAGCUUUAGUCUUGUUUUGUUCUCUCUAACUAGAAUUUUGUGAGAACAAUUGGAGAUUUCUUUGUAUAACUCAUUUUGUUGAAGAAAUAGAAGAUCAUUGGGAGUUUCUUCACUUCUUGGCUAAGCUUUUUUUAUCUAUCUUUUACUUGUGAUUUAAUAUGUGUUCAUGCAAUGAAGCAAUGUUCUUUCUUGUCAUAUAUUAUACGAGUAGCUAAAUUUCUAAAUCUAGGGAGUAGAUGAAACUUAUGCCUACUUGAUAUGAAGUGAAUAUGAUUUAAAUUUGUUACACAUUGUAUUAACUUGUUUAUUUAUGCAUGUUUAUCACUUGUUAUUGCUUGAUCACCAAUGGCAAGCUUAUAGUUGUUAUUAUUCAAUGUAAUUUGGUAAUAAUGAUAGAACAACGUAAAUAGAGCUUAAGUAGUAGACUCAUGAGAAUAGAGAUACAGUUAAGUAGAUUAAACUUGUAUUUCAUGAAGGAAACAAGAGUAGAUCUAGUUAUUCACCAUGAAAAUAGGGAAAACUAGUCUAGUUUAGGCCAUUUCAUCAUGAGAAUGAGAUUUGGUAAUAUUGAAAAUGAAUCCCUAGUUAAACAAGAGUUGUAACAAGAGGUAAAUCUAUUUAUUUGUAUCUUUGAUGCUAUAAGUGGAAUUUACAUCCUUAAACUCAAGUAUUUAGUGAAUUUUCUCCAUUGUUACCAUGAAAAUAUCUAGUUAAGACUAGUUAGAUAGUAGUAAUUACCAUUUCUCUUACUUGAAUUGAUUAUUAGUCUAAAUAAUAGAGUAAGUAAGGUCUUAGUAUAUGUAAGUUGCUCCCUGUGGCAUCGACCUGAUAUUUGCCCUAAACUACUAAUUUGACAUGUAUACUUGCACUAAAAAUGGGUAUAUUUCGGAAUUAAACUUGUACUCAUAUCAAAAACCCGUCACUUUAUCUAGUUAAAAGUUUAUCCAAUAAACUGCAUCUGAAGUGACAACUUUAUACGUUAAAGAUGGAGGAGGGUGGCAGCCUCAUGGAUCAUAUGAAUACAUUCAACAGAAUAUUGGAUUAACUCCAAAAUGUUGGUAUAUACAUUAAGGAAAAAAUUAAGACCCUUUUACUUCUUACCUUAGUCUCUAAUUCUUACGAAAGUGUCAUGACGGUCUUGUUUUAUGGGAAGGACACUUACAGUUAGAGAAUGUGCAGCCAUCUUUGUUAGAUCAUGAAAAGCAAAAGAAGGUAAACUAGGAUGUGACACAAGAAACUGCAUUAAUUGCUCGAGGUGAGAAUAAAAGAAGAAAAAAACUUAGCGGUGAAUCUAAGGUAGGUGAUUCAAAAGCUAAGAGAAAGGGUGGAGUCCAGUGCUUUGGUUGUCAUGAGUUUGACUAUAUCAAAAGAGAUUGCCCUUAUCGAAAGAAAAAUGAUGAGAAAGAGUAUAACGAUAUCGCUGGAUAUAUAUCGGGUGGAGAUAUUCUCAUAAUCUCCAAAGGUAGUAAUACUUCUUCUCGUGAUGGUUGGAUUUUAGAUUUUAGAUGUGUUCCACAUGUUUGUUCCAAGUUAAGCUAUUUUGAUACACUCCAAAGAAAGAAUGUAGGUUUUGUGUCCUUGGGUGAUGGACCUACUUGUGAAGUCUAAGGUGUUAGAGUAGUGAAAAUCAAAAUGCUGAAUGGAGAGAUUCAUUCUUUGAGUGGUGUGGCUUAUGUCCCAAAGUUACGAAAGAAUCUAAUUUAUUUGAGCUAGUUAGACUCUGAGGAUUACAACUUUUCGACUACAAGUGGAGUCUUGAAAAUCAUACAUGGCGAGACGGUCUUGUUGAUGGGGAAGAAGUAUGGUAAUUUGGACCAUUUGAAUACCUCAAUGGUUUGGGAGCAUAGCUCAAGGAAAGGGAUCCAAGGAUGCUCCCAAAUUACAAAUGGUGGUGAGAGGAAAAAUCCUUCUACGGGAGAGGGUAAAUUGAGGCUCCUCUCAUGAGUCAACUAGAUGUUGGACUCAGUUAGCUAUACACGUUCAUUUGCUGAUUGAAUCAAUUGAAAACAAAAUCGUCUAGGCACUAAGGAAUUUGGUGGUAAAAAAGCAAAUGGAGUUUUUGGGAUGGUUUGCUAUGUUUGCUAAAAGAAAUAUUCGCCAAGGUGGAGAUUGUUAGGAAAUUGACUUAAUUUCUUUUAGUCAAGAUCCUUAUUUUGUGUGAGAAAUAACUAAUCUCCUAAUUGGUUUUAAUUGCUUCAAGUAGUAGCCAAGUAAUUUCCUAUUUUAUUUAGAAUUUAGAAGUUAUUUCCUAUUUUGUAUAAGUUUAGGAAUUAGUAUUUGUUUCCUAUUGUUAUUUAUUUUUCUGGCCAAAUAAUGCUCUCUAUAAAUAGAUAGAUUGGCAUACUACAAAGACUCACAAGAAAGGAGUGAGAGACUUCUUAGUAGGUAAGAGAGUUAUACAAGCGUUGGGCUUGAGAAUCAAUUUGUAGGCUUGUAGUAUUUUUUUUUCUCAUAGUAAAAACAGUUUUUCUCUCCGUGGAUGUAGGUUUGGUGAUUAAGUUGAAUCACAUUAUUUCUUGUGCAUUUCUCAUCAUUCGUGCUAGUUAUUACUUUCUAUUAAAUUGUUGAUUUUUUUUCUUUUUCUAUUUUAAAUAGUUGACCUGAUACCCUAACAAAUGGUAUCAGAGCUUCAAGUUGCUCGACUAGGUUACUCAUGGGCAAGUGGAUUCUCCUCGAAAUUGGACUAGUGAAAAUUUUCUUCUUGAUGGUGGACCGAAGUGUCAAGGAGUUUGGUUGGUAUUCGACCAGGUACGCCAAGGGUUUGACAAGGGAUUCGGUUGGUGUUAGACCAAAGAGUCAAGGGUUGGGAGGGGUUCAGAAUCUAGUUUGGAUGUCGAAAAAUAGUAUAUUCAUGAUUGGAAGAAAAGGUGACCUUAGAUAUUAAGGUGAGAUUGUGUUGAGUAUUAAAGUGGGAUUGGAGAAAAGCUUGUAAAUUUGGAUUUAACGUAAGAAGUUACUCGUGAAGGGGGAGAUUUGUUAGAUUCAUGAGUAAAGAAUUAUGUCUCACAUUAGAUUUAAUGUAAUGGGUUACUCAAAAAGGGGGAGAUUUGUUAGGUUCAUGAGUAAAGAAUUAUGUCUCACAUUGGUUCGAGAGAUAAAGAAAGAGUGGUUAAUAUAUAAGUAAAGGCACGAAACCUAAUAGGUUAAGUUUUUGGGUCAGAGUCGGAUUCCUUACUUACAUAUUAGGCUCUUUAGUGCGUUCUCUCGAGGUAUUUCUCCCUAAUAAAUACAUGAAAAAUUAAAAUAAAAUAUUCUUUAACCACUACCCUCCCCUCCCCUCUUUUCUUUAUUUUUAUUUUUUUUCUCUCUCUCUCCUCAACCCUUUUCUCUUACUCCCCUUUCCCUUGCCAUCCCAUCUCCCCUCUUUUCCUUACUUUGGCAGGGGAAAGAAGAAAGAGAAAAGGGAGGGAAAGAGAAAAAGGGCAAAAAAAAGGGGAGGAUGGCUACUGGUCGUGGUGGUGGGUGAUAGAAAAUAUUUAAUAAAUUUAUUAAAAAAUACAUAAAAAUUUUAAAUUCUAGAAAUACUCCAAAACACAGAAUCCAAACGAACCAUUUAUAGUGAAAUUUUUCACAUACAGAAUUCACAUGGACAUGAAAAUAGAUUCAUAAUAAAUUUCACAUUUACCAAUCAAUUUGAUUAGCAUAGUGUUUGUCAAUUUUACGUGGCAAAUUUACAAAAAUUAAAAAGUUUUGGUUAGAAAAAUGAAAAUACAAAAAUAUGUGUCUCUAAACUACUUAAUGGUCGUGGCCCUUGCACGCUUGCAUUGCCUUGUGAGGUAAAAUACUUGCGGCAUUGGAGAACAAGUGUCCUUUUAUCUUGGCAUAAUUUCAGAAACCUUAAACUCCCCUACGGUUUCCAAAAAUUUCAUUUAGUACCCCUUCUAUUCUAAGAAUUACACUGAAAUCCGUUACUUUAAGUAUAUGGUUACAAAAUCAACCCUUGUCAAGAUAAAUGGCUUAAAAUAUUAAAAGAAAAUUCUGACAACAAACAUUAUUCUAAAGUUAUCCUUAGAGUUCCUACAAAAAAUUAUGCCAAAAAUAUUUUACUCAAAAAUGGAACAAACAAAGUAGAAAAGUCAAGAAUAAAUAAGCCUCAUAAAUUUGAUUGUUAUGGCCAAUAUUACCGUUAAUAGUGCAACCUUUUUCUGGACGAGCACAGGAUAAAAGUCUACUGUUGGAACAAUAAUGAACAACCCAUUCAGUCUAUUUUACAUAUAUACAUGACCAUUAUUUUAGAAAAUGUUCAACAAAAACAAUUCAAUCAAAUAAUGUGACUUUUCUACAACACUUUUCCAUCAUAUUAACGGACUUACAGUUUGAUUUAUAAUCUAAAUUCAGUUUACCAAUUUCACUAUUGGUUUGAAAACAUGCUUAAAAAAUAACUGCAACAAAAUUUUAAGCAUAAAAAUCGAUAUUUAACUACACUUGCACAAGGGUCAAAUUUAUAUAAUCCAGAAUACAUACAAAUUCUAAGUACAUAUUGUUAGAAAUUUCCAAAAUUUAUAAAGGAUCUGUGGACAGAUCCUUGUUGAUCCAUCAGUGGAUCCAUAAUCUAGCCGUGAAUUCAAUUGUAAUUGAACUGGAUUCCUGGACUUGAUUCUGUCCAGAGAGUUGUGAAAUUCUAUCUAGUUGGAUAUGCGGGCAGAUCCUUAGUAACUGUCAAAAUAUUCAAUUUUUCUAUUUUGACAACUUUUCAAGUUUUGGCGGUUUAUAUAUGACAGCCCCACCUCCCCCUAAGGCGAACCAAAGGGUUCGGCGAACCAAAGGGUUCGGCGACCACCUGUCCAACUCUCGCCGGGACUCAGUUAGUCACUACAGUUCUCAAAUAAAUUACAAUAUAAAUCUCAAAUAUUACAUCAAAUUCUCCAAUAAUUACAUGUCAUAAGCGAAGCGGAAACAAUUCCCCAAACUAUACAUAACAUGAUUCCAAAUCCAAACUGUACAAGAUAUAUGCCAUCCAGUCACGUGAAUGAGUACUACAAGCCUUCCUUCGCCACGAGCCCUAUGGAGGGGAAUAAAAUAUUUUUGGGGUGAGCUAGAAGCUCAGUGAGUAACCAAUAAAAGCAGUCAUCAAAUCAGUUUCUCAAUAGUUCAUUUCAAUGAUGUCAUGAAUCAGUAAUCAAAUAUACGUUUAUUACUCUAGUGAGCCAGUGAAAUCAUUGCACUUAAACACCCAACGCUCAAAUAGAUCACUUAACAUUAAACAAUAAGGGGGAGCAACGUUGGUGCUCCAGAUCAUGUCAUGAACAACAAACAGGGUGGAGACGUUGGUGUUCAGCACAAGACUCUCCAAGAACUCAUUAAAGCCAAAUCAUGUCAUGAACUCACAUGCAAGCACGCAUGAUAUGCAGUCGAGUAAAUAAUGCAAGAAACAUUUCAAAAGUACUUGGGAAAUAGUUGAGGGUCACUCUCCUCCACGGCUCAGAAACCAUCCAUCAUAUAUCAUUACCUUGCCCGAGUCCAAGCCCUAAAUCACAAACUCAAAGCAAUCAUACAUUCUCAAAGUUCGGACAGCAUUUCCUCAUAAAUGCUUCAUUUCCAACCUACAAUAUAUCACCAAUCACACAUACGGUUAAUAAGCAAUAAAAUACCUCCAAUUAAGCCACAAUAUCCCUCAAUCAAAGCUAAUUAGAAGCUUAAGAGCCACCAUUAGAAAAACCCCCCAAUUAAACCCUAGAAACCGGAAUUCAUUCCCUCAAGCAUAAAUUUUCCGCAACGAUCGCAAUUAACAUAUAAAAGUUCCGUUUAACACCUUUCGGUACAAUAUCCAUAACUGAAGCUACCCUUAUCGGAUUGAAACGAAUCUUAUAGCGUUUUGAAACCAAGACAUAAACCUACAAUUCUUAUGAAGACCUCCAAGGCCCAAUCAUGCAUUUUCAUGGUCAAAAAUGGGAAACCCCACGAAAACAGAAAUCUGGGCGCGAAACAGGGUUCAUGAACAGUCAAGAGUAUUUCGAUCAUUUCACAGGCUACAGUUAUCAGAUCGAGCUGAAAUUUUACAGACAGCUAGUUAACACCAUUUGCUACAACUUUCAUGUUUUAACCUAAGCCUGAUUCGGCCUCUAACAUGCUCAAAUAAAUCCGGUCAGAACAGGACAGAUUUGAAACCCAAACCUGAAAUUUCCGCACAAAGCUGAAAUUUUCCGCAACCAACUUCAACUAACAUAUAUAAGCUUCAUUUUACACCAUUACCAGCCAUCAUACCAUGAUCAAACCAUGAUCCUCAUACAAAAUAGAAAAAUAACAAGAAUAAAUCAAAAUUCAUCAAACCUUCACUUCCAACCAUAAUCACACCAUAUGUCAUCAUAUUAAACCACUAAAGCCACCAAUUGAACAUUAGCAAAGCUAAAGGGAAAGAUUCUUAACAACUCACCUUGUAACCUCAAGACAACAAGCAACUUAGCACCUUUGUUUCUCAAACCACUUCACCACUCACCUUAAUCCUACCAAGAGAAAGAUUUUUAUGGAGCAAAUCAAAGUUUUAGCAGUUGGUUUGUGAGAUCAAGGCAAGAAAUUGAAGAAAGAAGUUGGAGGUUUCUUUCUUUUCUCUCCCUAAGGAGUUCGGCCAAUAGAGCUUCAAAUGAAGAAAUAAAAUGGACAAAAUUAGCUUUAAGAAGGUAAAAAUAUCUUGGUCAAAAGUCCAAGGAUGAAUUGAAUGGUGACACUUCUCACCUUUUAGCUUAAAGCUUAUCUUUUUGUCUCUCUAAUACAAAUCUCUUAGCACCUUGUAAAAUAAUAUCACUUAAUACAAACCUCCAACAAGUUGUCAAAAAUAUAUUGCAUUUACCGCACUAGUGGGUCGCACGUCCAUAAUACACUUCAAACUUAACGUGGACUAACUUGUAUCAAGGAAAUAAUUUGAAAAUAUAUUCCCUUAUACAAAUGUAUAGGAAAUUAAUAUAUUGAAGAAAGGCAUAAAAUUAUAGACAAGGAAACAAAAUAAUGUCUCAAAAAUAUAUAAAAAUUUUCGGAUUCUCACACUCAUCCUUUCGGGGCGUCACAUUAUACCCCUCCAAAUGGUCUAAAACUUAAUCAAGGAAUAGACAUCAAAUCGUUGGACAAAAGUUGCAACUCUUAGUUCAUAACAAUCUCAUCUAUAUAAGAUUAAUUAAGAGGGUGGUUUGUUGCAGAAAAUUACUUUCCUAAUCACCUGAAUUCUCUAUAAAAUGCACCAUUGUUCAAUUAGGUUUGUCUUACUUUAUAUAAGAGUUGAAAAUAAGCAAACUUCAAAUUAACCUAAAGGAUAGCUGUCCAAGUUCUGUUAUACACAAAACUGUACAAAUAAAACCUAAAGGAAAGUGAUUUAGAAUCAUGAUUUGAACCCAACUUUUGUAUCUUAUACUAUGUAAUAUUUAGCCAUUUCUUUUUUAAUAUCCUCAACAAUCUUCAGGCUUUAAUUUGUUCUUCCGCAAUCGUUGGUACAUUGAAAGAAUUAGCAUCCAACAUUAUCAAGAUAAAAAGAUUUGAUGGAAGGAACUUUAUUAGAUGGCAAAAAUGUGUUCAUUUCUUCCUUACUGCUUUUCAAGUAGUCUAUGUUUUUACCAAUCCAAAACCCUUGAUUGUCAAUCCUGAUGAAGAAGCUCUUGAGGACAUCCACAAACGCCAAAAGUGGGAGAAUGAUAAUGCGAUUUGCCACGCUUAUAGCCUCAACAAUAUGAGCGAUGAUUUGUUCAAUGUCUACCAUUCAAUUCCAAUUACUAUGGAACUUUGGGAGCAAUUGGAAUCCAAAUAUAUGCAAGAAGAUGCAACAAAUAAGAAGUUUCUUAUCUCCUCUUUUAAUAGUUAUAAAAUGGUAGAUAAUAGAUCUAUUACGGAGCAAUUUGCAAGAUUCUUAAGAAGAAAUAGGAGAAACAAGACUUUUGCAACAAAGCAAACAAAAAUCUGGUUGCUAUGGUUUCUGAAAUUAAUGUGGCUGAAAAUGAUUUUGUUUGGUGGAUUAAUUUCGGUGCUAUAUAUCACAUUUGCAUGUGGAGUUUUUCAUGAUCGUGAAACUGAUAGAUGAAGGCACCGUGGUCGAUAUGAAAAAUUUUACUACCAUUUCAGUUCAAGGGUGAGUGAAGUAGAAUUAAAGUUCACUUCCAAAAAUGUAGUAACUUUGACUAAUAUACUCUGCGUGUUGGAAGUUAGAAGAACCUAGUGUUGGGUAGUUUGUUAAACAAGUUUGGUUUUAGAUUUAUUUUGAUGGGUAACAAAGUUAUCUUAUCCAAGUGUGGUCUGUAUGUAGGCAAGGGUUAUUUUCACAAUAGGAUGUUUAAGUUAAAUGUACUUGCUACUGCUAAUAAUAAGAAUAAUAAUGUUUCUGCAUAUUUGGUUGAGUUUUCUUCUAGUUUAUGGUAUAAUAGGCUUGGUCACGUUAAAUAUAAAAGAAUGUAAGAAAUGAUGAAACUUGAACUACUACCAUAUUGUAAAGUGCAAUACAUGCAUGUUAACAAAAAUCACAAGAAUUCCAUUUCCUGAAGUUGAAAGAAGUUCCAAAGUUUUGGACUUAAUUCAUACUGAUGCAUGUAACUUACAUGGCACACCUACUUGAGGAAGAAAUAAAUAUUUUGUUACUUUUUACAAAUGAUUUUUGUAGAUAUUGUCAUGUUUAUUUGUUGCAUUUAAAAGGUGAAGUCAUGAAUAAAUUUAAAAUAUAUAAGAGUGAAGUUGAAUUUUAUCAUGAAAUAUUUGUGAAAUGCUUAAGGCCCGAUAGAGGUGGAGAAUAUUAUAAUAUUAACUAUUUCCGUCUACUAGGAUAGAACAUAAAGCUACUGCUCCUUAUAGAUCACAAUAAAAUGGUGUAACUGAAAGGAAAAAUCAUGUGUUAACUCAAAUCAUUGAUGCACUUUUGUUAAAUUCUAUCCUAAGCCAAAAACAACUUCACCUUUCUAUUCUAAACCAAAAAUUGUUGAUACACCACAAUAACAUUACAGUUCCUUAUUUGCUUCAUAUUGUGACAAAAUUGAAGAAAAGUGCAAUAUAUGCAUGUUAACAAAAAUCACAAGAAUUCCAUUUCUUGAAGUUGAAAGAAGUUUCAAAGUUUUGGUCUUGAUUCAUAGUGAUGCAUGUGACUUACAUGGCACACCUACUUUAGGAGGAAAUAAAUAUUUUGUUUCUUUUUAUAAAUGAUUUCUAUAGAUAUUGUCAUGUUUAUUUGCUGCAUUUACAAGGUGAAGUCAUGAAUAAAUUUAAAAUAUAUAAGAGUGAAGUUGAAUUUUAUCAUAAAAUAUUUGUGAAAUACUUAAGGUCCGAUAGAGGUGGAGAAUAUUAUAAUAUUAACUAUUUCCGUCUACUAGGAUAAAACAUAAAGUUACUGUUCCUUGCACAUUACAAUAAAAUGGUGUAAUUGAAAGGAAAAAUCAUGCAUUAACUCAAGUCGUUGACGCAUUUUUGUUAAAUUCUAUCCUAAGCCAAAUAUGACUUCACCUUUCUAUUCUAAACCAAAAAUCGUUGAUACGCCACAAUAAAAUUACAGCUCCUUAUUUGCUUCAUAUUGUAACAAAAAUGAAGAAAAGUGCAAUGCAUGCAUGUUAACAAAAAUCAAAAGAAUUCCAUUUCCUAAAGUUGAAAGAAGUUUCAAAGUUUUGGACUUGAUUCAUAGUGAUGCAUGUGACUUACAUGGCACACCUACUUUAGGAGGAAAUAAAUAUUCUGUUACUUUUAUAAAUGAUUUUUGUAGAUGUUGUCAUGUUUAUUUAAUCCAUUUAAAAGGUGAAGUCAUGAGUAAAUUUAAAAUAUAUAAGAGUGAAGUUGAAUUUUAUCAUGAAAUAUUUGUGAAAUGCUUAAGGCCCGAUAGAGGUGGAGAAUAUUAUAAUAUUAACUAUUUCUGUCUACUAGGAUAAAACAUAAAGUUACUGCUCCUUAUAGAUCACAAUAAAAUGGUGUAACUGAAAGGAAAAAUCAUGUGUUAACUCAAAUCAUUGAUGCAUUUUUGUUAAAUUCUAUCCUAAGCCAAAAAUGACUUCACCCUUCUAUUCUAAACCAAAUAUUGUUGAUACACCACCAUAACAUUACAGUUCCUUAUUUGCUUCAUAUUGUGACAAAAUUGAAGAAAAGUGCAAUACAUGCAUGUUAACAAAAAUCACAAGAAUUCCAUUUCCUGAAGUUGAAAGAAGUUUCAAAGUUUGGACUUGAUUCAUAGUGAUCCAUGUGACUUAAUGGCACACCUACUUUUGGAGAAAAUAAAUAUUGUUUCACUUUUCAUAAAUGAUUUCGCUAGAUAUUGUCAUGUUUAUCUGCUGUAUUUAAAUGGUGAAGUCAUGCAUAAAUGUAAAAUAUAUGAGUGAAGUUGAAUUUUAUCAUGAAUUAUUAGUGAAAUAUUUAAGGCCCAAUAUAGGUGGAGAAUAUUAUGAUGCUAACUAUUUUGAGUUUACCAGGAUAAAACAUGAAGUUACUGCUCCUUAUACAACACAAUAAAAUGGUGCAGUUGAAAGGAAAAAUCAUGUGUUAACUGAAAUGGUUGAUGCAGUUUUGUCAAAUUCUGGCUAUUUUGCUUCAGCCCAAAAUAUUGAUCCGCUUUUGUCAAAUUCUGGUCUAAGCCAAUGAUUUUAGGGUGAACCAUUAUUAACAGCUUUUGAAUCCCAGAACCCCAAUUGUGAUUGGUGGUUAUCAGUUGGAAAUUUAGUCUUACAAUUUGAUUUGGCAACUUCAAGGUUGGGCUUCACCUUUACGCUUUUUGGAAUCUCAAAUCGCAUGUACCAACUUUAACUUCACAUCCACGGCCUAAACUGUUUAAAAAGAGCCAUUUGAUUUCCCUAGAUGCUUUUUCAGACGUUUUACUGUAUUUGUAUAUGGGGUAUGUGCUUUUUGGGUGUAUCGAUGAUUAUUUGCACAAGAAUAUAAUUAGCAGAACAUUUAUGUUUGCGUGAUUUGCUGAAUUUAGCAGUGUAUUUUUGUUUGGAUUAUGGCCUUAUGGUUACUGUCUUUGGAUCGACUACUAUUAGUUGCAACAUUUUCUACUAAUAGAUCUUUUACAGAGAUGCCAGCUUAGAAUAUAGAACGUUAAUCUUCUUUUGAUUCUUAAUGAUAAUCAUAUACAACCAUGCGUGCUAAUAAAUCUUGUAGUAGUUUUCUACCAAAAACUUUAAUAGUUUGAUAAGAAUUACAAAAGCCCUGCAAUUAUGUUAUCAGAGAAAAGAGUACGUGUUUCACCUAUAAAGGUUUAAUGAGUCAUGACAAGUUGUAAAACUAGUUGUAACUGUGACACCCCCAUUUCUCCCUAAGGCGAACUAGAGGGUAUCCGCGGGAUGCCUGCCCAACUCUCACCAGGACUCAAGACAAUAUCCAUUCAAGCUUAACACAAUACUAGCCGUUACCACGAAGUAAAGUAAGCAAAUGCGGAAACGUUUGAACUUAACAAUACAUCUAUCAAUGAUUCAAUCCUUACAUCGGAUUUCCAAAAGUUACCUCAAAUCCCAACAUAUACAACAUCCAAAUACAUUGAAUAUCCCAAUCAUACAUUAGGUGUCCAAAAGUACAAUCAAUAAGAGGUCUAGCCCAAAAUACAUUAGGAACCCUAAGCCAAAAGUACAUCACAAGGGGGUUUCUCCAAGUUCACUCCAUGUCCAAUCAUGUUAAGGAAAACAAAUCUACAGGGUGAGCAAAACGCUCAUGAGGCCAAGUACACACAUGCAGGCAUGUUGUUCAAGUAACAAUCCCAAUUUAACAAGUAGAGCUAUAAUAUUUCAAUAAAUAAGAAUUCGAGCGAGAAAAUUAAACAGAAACAAUUCAAGGAUAUAGGAGCUCUCAGGAGCUAUUUUCCACUUGCACGAUCAUGAACCUCCACGAGUUGACACUCCAUCAAUCGGGUAAGUUUAGUCCGUAGAACUUCACUUAUCCUGUCCCCUUUCACCUUACAUACCCCAGUAUCGGGCCCGCCUGUCAUUUGUUUGAGGCGAUACUGCUCGAGUAUGCCAAGCAAGACCUCUUAAUAGGUCAAGCUUUUGUUUUCUCAUGGUUCGCCAAGGAACCCGACCAAGCCCAUGCCGGCUCGAGUCCAAGGUUAGCCAGUGAGACUUGGGCGUCCCCCAUGUACAUUUGUGAGUCGAGGAGAUUCACUAUAGCGACGUAUGCAGCCAUAUCAUACCAUUUCAUGUAAUUCAAGCAUUUGAUACAUUCCAGCAUUUGUUAUGGUCAAGUAUUUGAAAUAAUCAAGCAUUCGAAGCAUGAGUUGUUGUUUUCGCAUGAGAACGAGUGCGAUAAAGUACACACUCGACUCCAUUUUCAAAUCCCAAAGCAUUGAUAACAGGUAAGCAUGUAACGAGUUCACAGGAGUUCAAGUAAACAUGCACUUGACACUCACCGAUACAAGUACAAGAAAGAAAUGUCACUCGGAGCUUUUAGGCGUUCACUGUGGGAUCCUCUUGAAGGUUCUCGUGCGAGCCUGGGCAAUUAAUAAGGAUCUAUCACUCAUAACCCUAAUAAAUGAAAAGAUCGCACUAGUGCACAUUCCAAGAAAAUCUCGUAAAAACGAACUCCAAUCACUCGUAAAUCGAGGUUCAAAGACGGGGUUUCAAAACACAAGAGCAAUCAAUUUUCCGUCUUUGAAAUCAAGUAUAAAACGUCCAAGUGAUAUCGAGGGAAAAAGGAGAAUUCGAAAAACUCCAUUUCCCGUAAGUUUUGGAAAUUUCAGUUUUGAUAUGAAUCUUUGAAAAAUCGUAUCUCACUCUUUACAAGUCCAAAAUUGGAAAACUUGAUACCUUUGGAAUCCUAUUUGAAAGUACUAAAAGUUCUUAGAAGACACUUUUUCUUGAUUCUAAAUGGAAAGUAUUCAAAAAUGGGCUCAAAGUCACUGUUUCAGGGUACUUAGGAUUGUGUCGGGGUUAGUUUUUCGCUAACUUUGGAAAUUCGGUAAAAUUCACACAUUGCCAACCAGCCUCUGAAAUUUGUAAAUCAAUUAGAGUUACAAGUAAGGUUUAGAACAGAACAAUCGGAUCAAGAAUCGGAGUUUUGAGCACCGAGAUACGAUAGCUCAAAGUUGGUGAAAAAUCGAAACUGUUAAGCUAAUUUUCCAGAUUUAAGUUCCAAACUUUGGGACUUUAGUUAGGUAUCGAAACAGACUCGGAACGGCACCAAAUUUGGUAUGAAUAUACUACCAUAUAAGGGACACUCCUUUACCAAAUUUCAUAUAAAAAUAUGUACGGAAAUCGGUUAACGAGACCGUUGAAAUCACAAGAAAUUCUAAGGCUAAGCUGCCUUUGAACUUCCGUUUUGCCGUUUCCAAACAUUUGGUCAAGAAACAUCUCAAACAUGGUCCAUUCUAGUAGGUAAUGUCUAGAAUAUGUCCAAGGUACAUUUGAUAGGUGAUUUACACUAAGAAGCUUCGGAUAACAAGUCCCAAAUCAUUGUUAGUUUCAAAUCUGUCCAAAUGCACGGUAUUCCUUCACAAGACCAGAUUUGAAUUUUGAUCAUAAAUCACUCAAUUUAACUCGGAAUUGAGCAUGGUUGGUGACAUUAGAAAAUUGACUCAUAAGGAUAUAUUUUCUCAGAAGAAACCAUUUUCAAAAUCUAUCCAUAACUAGCUCGUUCGUGAGCAUCAAGUUACAGCUCAUGUGCUGCCUUCCAGGAAGCAACGAAACAGGAUAGCAAAUUUCAAACGAAUGGUUUGGCUUGCUCAAGUGGAACCAGGACAUGAAUUUUAUACCAACAGAAAACGGGGAAUGUCUAGUUUUCAGUGCCACAAACGGCACUCGAUUCUGACAUUGGAGCGAUGAGUUAUAGCCAAAAUAAGAUGACUGCCUGGGCAGUGACGGGAACCAAUUCCAGAUUUCUAAGCUUCCGAAAUUCCAACAUUUGAGUGACCAAAUCAAGUUAUUUUUCAAUGAAACUUUUUACACACUCAAUAUAACAUGUAAACAACAUAAACAAGCCAUUAGAACCUCAAAAUUUUACACCAAAGUGCUCGAACAAAGCAGGGGCAAAAUGGUCACUUUUGGUCAUUGCACCAUCCUUGAGUUUCUAUCAACAACCCAACAUUAAUCCACUAGUUUAAGCACUAAAUAAAUAUUAUUACCAUCAAAACACCACAAAUCAGUCCAUAUAUCCAAGGUAGGAGUUCAUAGAGCCCACACAACCAUUUUUCCAUCAUAAACAAGCUACCCAUGUGCAUGCAUGAGCUUAAAUGUGUAAGAUAACUUCCAUAAAUCAAGUUUCCAAGGUUUGAUCAUCACUUACUUGGUUUGAUGUUCCAAAGCAGAAAUUUCGGUCCUCUCUUGUCCAAGAAAAACCGUGGAAAGUAGCUCCUUUUCUGAGCUAGAUAAACUCUCCAAGUAAUAAGCCAAGUGUGGAUGAAAUUUGAUGUGAAUUGGAUGAAGAUUGAUGAAGAUUUUGUGAAGAAAUUUGGAGAACUUUGGUGUUGUUUUGCAAGCUCAAUGGCCGGCUGUCUUAGGGGAAAAAGAAAGAGUUGCACAGCUGUUUAAGGUGAUACAGUGGAGAGUUUUGAUCUGGUGCGAUGCUCCCAUGAAAAGCCUAAGAAUGUGUGGCCCAAAAUGCUCCAAAAGUCAACUAAGAAGAGUGCGCGUAUGCGCGCAUUUCGUGCUCGUUUCCUUUCGGGUUUGUUUCACUUGUGCACUAAACCUCUAAUGUACUUCCAUUCAUACUAUUAUUAUCCAAUCUUAAAUGUCCCAAAAUAAGGGUCUAAAAUCCCUCAAUUAAAUCGCGCGUGUGAAAACGCGUGGUUCCAAUUUAAGCGCGAUAAAGUGAAAUCUCCAAGAAAUUCUUAUAACGAUAGUAUUACUAACUAUCAAUUGAGUACUUAAACAUAAAAAUACCUAAUUUGAACACCAUUAUAUAAGUAUCCCAAUUUUCAAGCUUAUUGUACCCUCAAAUCGGUUACUGUCUCCAAAUGCGCGUUCACUAUUCUCACUUAACGAGUUUUCAAAAAAUUAAAUUUUGAAACAAGUCAUAUUAAAAAUAUAAUUAAGCUAUAGACCCAUGUAAUUAGGUCCAAAGAGGUUAGAAAAUAAAAUUCGGAGUAAAUGACCAAGUAAAUAAUUAAAUAAGCUAGAAAUAGGAAUUUAAAAUGAGAAAAUUUGUGAGUCCUCACUUAAGUCGAGUAUUAAUUCCUCAAUUAACCUUUCUUAAUCUACCAUUAAUCAUUCUUAACUCUCCAAUAUUAAUACACUCCCGAUUCAAGUAUAAUCUCAAAAAACAUGUACUCGUUGUUCCGAACUAAACGAAUUUUUGAAAAGUGAAUUUUUUUCCAACACAACGCUUUAAAAGUAUAAAAGAGGCAUCGUUCCAUAUAAAUGGAUUUUAAAUGAUCGCAAUGAAUAAUUCGGAGAAAAUGAGUAAAUAAAUAUUUAAAUAAACUGGUAAUAUUCGAUAAAAUAAGAAAAUUUUCGAGUUCUCACAGUAACUGUUUCUCAGUAAAUGUAUCAUAAUAAACAAAUUCCUUUUGGUUUAUAUAGACUAAAUUCAACUCUACAUCUCGCAAAAACAUGCUUAUACAAAUACAAUCAUAUAAUUGAAUGAAUAUUAUUCUUCUUAAAUGGUGUCGACAAUCUAAUAACUGUUAGGGUUGGUCCAAUAGUCAGGAAGCAUUUCACUGUCACAUUUGGAUUCGAAUCUUGGACCUGACAGUUGGGGUUGAAAUGGGUGUGGAGAAGGGUGGGAGAUUAAAAAAAUAAAAUAAAAUUACAAAAUGUCCACAACAUAUUGCAAUAAUUUUAGACAAAGGAUCCAUAUAUAUACAAAUACAAUAAAUCAUGAAGUACAACGAAGAAAGAAAGGAGAACACUUUUAACACCGCUUGAUACACAUUUUUAUUCAGCAAUCUGCUUGUACUGAUUAAACUGAGUUGUUUCUCACACAAGAUUCAUAAAUCGAUGAGGUCCCUAGAAAGGGUUUCACUGUGCAUGCCUACUCACUGCAAGUAGGCUAGUUGGACUCAAACUUUGGGCAGUAUUUAAUAUUGAGAUGCUCAAUAUGCUGAUAAGAUUGAUGACAGAUUCUAACCAACUGAGUCAGAUAACGAAGUUCCAACUUUUUCAGUUUUGGAAUUUCAGCAGCACAAACCUCUUUCUACAUCUCACAUAGUAUGAUUUCUGUCAUAGAUGCACAAUCUUCUACCAUAAGGUCUUCAAGGCUAGGAAAAUAUUGUACCAUAGAGCAUGAAAGAACAAAUUCCAACCUCAGACAUGUAUGAACCGACAAAACUUUUAAAGCCUUGAAACUUUCAACAGUUAUCUCACCUUUCCAAAUUUUGUUCAAGUUCCACAAGUAAUGAAGACUUAGGUGAGAUAGAUUUGGUAAUGCAAUUUCAUCAAUAAUACUGCCACCAUCUACAAUGGACUCCAUGUCAGAACAUUCGCUUACAGUACAGAACUUCAGUUGUCUAAUAAUUUGAAUGCCAAACUCUGUUAAGCUUCUGAUCCUAGAAUGGUGAUCAAGAUAGAAGGCUGUGGCCAACUUGAGGACUUCCUUUGUGACGACCCCACCUCCCCCUAAGGCGAACCAGAGGGUUCGGCGGGCCGCCUGCCCAACUCUCGCCGGGACUCAGUCGUUCACUAAAGUCCUCAAAUAAACUACAAGAUAAAUCUCAAAUAUACAUCACAUGGUCCACAAAUAUACAUCCAAGUCUCCAAUAAUUACAUGUCACAAAUGCAGCGGAAAACAAUUCCCACCUAUACAUCAAAUGAUUCCAAAUCCAAAUUGUACAAAAUAUAGGCCAUCCAUACACGUGAAUAAGCACAACAAGUCCUGCCUUCGCCUUGAGCCCUGUGGAGGGGAAUAAAAUAUUUUUGGGGUGACCUAUAAGCUCAGCGAGUAACCAGGAAAAUCAUUAAACAAAUAUAUUUCACAAUGUUGCAUUUCGAUGAUUUCGAUGAUGUCAUGAUUCCAAGAUCAAAUGUCCGUUUAGUGCUCUCGUGAGCCGGUGAAAUCACAGCACUUGAACACCCAACGCUCAAAUAUUUCAUUUAACAUUAACUCACGAACUCACGAAAGUGGGAGCAACAUCGGUGCUCCAGAUAACCAUGAACAUGAACCAUAAACAAGGUGGAGACGUUGGUGUCCAGCACAAGACUUUCCCAGAACUCAUUGAAGCCAAAUCAUGUCAUGAAUUCACAUGCAAGCACGCAUGAUAUGCAAUCGAAUAAUUAAUGCAAGAAACAUUUCACAAGUACUUUGGAAAUAGUUUAGGGUCACUCACCUCCAUGGCUCAGAAAUCAUCCAUCAAAUAUCAUUGCCUUGCUCAAAUCCAAGUCUUAAAUCACAAACUCAAUGCAAACAAAUUCCUUCAAAGUUCGGACAGCACUUCCCCUGAAUUUGCUAACUUUUCCAGCCAUCAUGGCUUCAUUAUUUUUCUCAUUCCAACCCAAAGGUACACACACAACAACAAGUUCAUCCAAUAGCCAUUCAACAAACUCCAAGUAGUACAAAGACAAGUCAAGCUAGGGAAAAGUCCGGAAAUGAAAGUUAAGCUCAAAACCAGAAAAACAGUUUUGACGUCAUUUUGCGGUAAUGGUGCCAAAGGCACUACGAUGGUCGGAUGAAGGUACAAGACCCACCGUUUGGAAGCUAAGAGAUAAGGCUACAAUAUUGUAGAAGGUCACUCAACCCAGUUUCGAGUGUAACCAGGUCAAAAAUGCAAGAUACUACACCAGAAUAGGAAAAACAGGUUCACGAAUCGCAUUCUGGUACAAACAUCAUAAAUCAGGCUACCGAAGUCCAAAUCCAGAAAUUCCAAAACCAACUGAAAGAUAAGAAACAGGGCUAAAUUCCAUCAGAAGGCCUCAACAACCAAUUCGGAAGCAAUUCCAGCCAAAACAACCAAUUACAAUCGCAAAUCCCAAUUUCGGGUAAACCAGAACAGCAAUAGUAAUUUCGACUUUUCUCACUCUACGCUACUCCGAUUGACCUGAAAUUUUGUAGGAACCUUUAAAAUGUCAUUCCCUACAACUUUCAUGUUUUGAGAUAAGGCCAAUUCUGCCUCUAUCUAGGACCAAAAAUUUCGGACAGAAUGAAGAACCAAGAACCCUAAUUUUCCAGAUUUCUUUCAAAACAGAAUUUACUUGCAAUCUUCCACUUUUUCCACCUUCUAGAAUCAUUAAACAUCAUUUCCAAUCAUCAUACAUAACCACAUAAUCAUACUCAUAUUAAAACAGAAAAAUCCCCAAAAAUAAUAAAAGUUCAUCCAUCCAACCACAACUCAAAAUAUAAUCCAUCAAACCAUCUCUUUAGCAAUCACAAGUCACUAAUUUAGCAUAAUCAAGAACAAAGAAAGGAUUGCUAGACAUGAUACCUUCAAAUAUCAAGAAAGGUGAUGACUUAGGGAUUUUUCUUCCAAAACAACUCCACCAAGAGCUUCAAUCUUCCUUAGCUAGCAAGUUUUAUGGAGUGAUUUGCAAUUUAAUCGGUUGGAACUCAAAAUUUGGACAAGAAAUUGAAGUGCAAGAUGAUGAAUUUUCUCUCUCUUUUUCUCUCAAAAUUUCGUCCAAGACAAGCUAAAAUGGAGAGAAAUUGGGUCCAAAUUGGUUUUAGUAAAGUUAGAAAAGUCUUGGUCAAAAGUCAAGGUCCAAUGGUUUUGUGACAAAUGGUCCUUUAGGGUUUUAAUCUUAUCUUUUUGUCUCUCCAAUACAAAUAUCUUAACACAUUGUAAAAUAAUAUCACUUAAUACAAAAUUCCAACAAGUUGUCAAAAAUAUAAUGCAUUUACCGCACUUGCGGGUUCCACGUCCAAAAUACGCUUUUAAUUUCUCAAAAACUAACCGAUACUAGAAAAAUCAUUUUAAAACUAUUUUUGCUCAUAAACUUUAUCUGGGGAAUUUUUCUAAUCAAGAAAAUGUAGAAAAGGCGGGCGUUUAAAAAAAUAAACCCUAGAAAAUUAGAAAAUUUCCGGGUUCUCAAACUCAUUUUUUUUUCGGGGCGUCACAUCCUUAACUUCAUUAGGUAUGUGAUCAAUAUCAGUAUUGACAUAUCUCAAGCACUUGUGUUCCUGAUCAUAAUCCUGCUCUGUACGUCUUGGGACACGAGAUGUCGACCUUUUGAUAUCAUGGCCAAUGACAAAUUUGAACUUCCUCAAAUUAUCAGCUUUCCAAGCAGGACUGGAUCCAAGGAAAGUCUUUAGAAACUUUAUUUCGGGGAAACAAAUACAAAGAGUAUCCAAAUUGCUCAGAUUGCUCAAUUCCUCUGCAACAAAUUCUGCAUCUGUAUUCCACUGAGUAUCCCUGGGUUGCACUUCAAUGCUCAAUUCUUCCAGUGACUGAAGGUUAGCAAAUAUACCACCAGGAACCAAAUUUUUUGUGCUUAUUAUGAUACUUUUUGUGAUCCACAUAUGCAUAAAAAGAUACAUGAAGAUGCUUGAGAGAUGAUAAUUUGCCAAUGGUAUCAGGUAGGCUAUAAAUCUCAGUACCUGUCAGAUCAAGAAUCUCUAUGGGCUUUACCUCCCCAACUCUGGGAGAAAUCUCAGAUAAGCAUGGGCAAUGGCAAAGAAUUAGCGCUUGGAGUCCACUUAAGUUGUAAAGUAAUGAUGGUAAGGAUCUUAUAUUUGUCCUGGAUAGAUUCACAACUUGUAGACAAGGCAUGCUGUUGAAAAAUGAUUCAGGUAUAGUUGUAACUUGUAAGACGUCCGUUUCUUUGAAGAAACAACAUCUUUAACUUGCGGCAAUUUGGUUCCUUGGGUAGCUUUGAAAUGCCAUUAUCCAUGAGAAAUAUCAUCUCAGUUUCUUCCCAUUCAUUUUGUGUUGGUGGUAAUGGUAAACCUGCCCCAGCUCUUGACAAGAGGCGAUCUUCUACCCUGGGCAACUUUUGGGGGCUGCAUGUAAUUAAUCUUGUCCUUGGUCCCAACAUCAGCUCUUGGUUUCCAACUUUGUUGAAUUUCCUUCCCACCAAGAAAUCCAAGGAUCCAUCUUCUGAUAGGAUGAUCCAAGAUGCCAAAUCCCUUAUCAAGUUAUGCAUUUUAAUUGAAAUACCAUCAACACGUUCCACUAGAGAGGCUUCAGUAAGAUGCCAAACAAUUCUGAACCCUUUCCUUGAUGCAUCUACUGGAUUCCCCGUGACAAGGCCUUCCUGGAUCCAAUAAUUGAUAAGCUCAGUUAUUUGAAUGUUGUGAUCCUCUGGAAACAAAACACAAUAUAGGAAGCAAUGCUUCAAAUCAUAGUCAUGCAAUUUGUCAUAACCAACUGUUAGCUUUUGGAGUAGAACUUCAUCAUGACUUUCGGUGUCACCAGAUUUUAGUUCGGUAACUGAUGAAAGAUUACUCAGCACAAGCCUCCAGCCCAAGACAUCAUUUUCCUUAGCCAAGGCUCUUCCAAUCACAAUUAUCAUCAAUAGCAAACCAUCACAUUCUGAAACUAUUACUACCACACGAGGCCUUAUAUUGGGGGAAUCAAUGAGGCCUCCUACCUGCUCUUGGAAUAGAUUCCAUGCUUCUUUCCAAGGAAGGGCACUUACUUCUAUCUGUUGAUCCAAGGCCAUUAUUUUGCAAAUAUGAACAGAUCUUGUUGCCACCACUAACCUAGAAUGGCUCUCCAAAUUAACACCUAGUGCCUCCAAAUUAAUAUUGUCCCAUACGUCAUCAAGUAUCAACAAAUACUUCUUGCUUUGCAGUGCAUGAAAUAACUUGCUCGUAAGUUCAUCUCCAGAUUUAGGGCCUUCCACAGUGAGCUCUAGCUGCCUUGCAAUCUCAAGCUGAAUCUUUUCCCUGCUCCAAUUUCUUGAGAUGGUCACCUGAAUAAGAAAAUUGAAUUUAUUUUUAAUUUCGGGAGCGCAAAACAAAGCUUUAAGUACGGUUGUCUGGCCUAUUCCAUCUUUUCCGUGGAUGCCAAUUCUUCUGUAUUUAUCAUCUUGCAUGCACUCAAUUAUCUUUCGUACCAUGUAGCUAAUUCUCAGUUCUUCUUCACCCUGAGGCAAACUUAUAUAAUCUUCUCUUGAUGAAUCCAAUUGUGAAGCUUUCGGAACAGUUCCACUUCGUGAAGAAGACCUGGCAAACAGACAUAUUUUUAGGUUCAUAAGUGGUUGUUGGGAAAGGGGGUAUCAGUGCAGGCACACAAUAUCAGAGUUAGCCCAGAACAAAUUUUUCUUUCCCCAAAUACCAGUUAAAACAGGAAUAAACCAAAUCACCAAAUAAUAAUACCAGCAGUGAUAAUAAAAUGCAAGAAAAAUAAAAGGCACAGGACACCAAGAUUUUUACGUGAAAAAUCCAAAUUGAAAAAAAUCACGGGACCUAGUCUAGGCAAAAAUCUCCACUAUCACAACAAUGGAAAUACACAGGUCUAUUCGAAAUAUUCGAAUGACAACAAUAUCACCAAUACCAACCAAGCCAAUCUGCUACAAAAUCACCCCCAAAAAUUACAAUUGUCAAAGAGAUGAGUUUGGAAAGAUGAUACAAAACGAAGAGGAAAUCUAAAAUCUGAAUCAGUAGAUAAGUAGAGUUUGACAAGAGUAUUGCGUGUGUAAAAUUUCGUCUCGAUCGGAUUUCAAAUCACCUUCCAACUGAGGCUUCAAAGUUGCAAAGAAUUUUCUCUCUUUGGCUCUCACUCUUUCUCUCUCUUCGUUUCCCUCCUCACUUGUGCGGCUGAAAUUCUUCACACCUAAAAGUGAAAGUACUUUUUUGCGGCUACCUCAAACGUUCCAUCACAUGAAACCCUCUAGUCUUAGUGACUUGUAUUUUGGGUUGGCCCACACAAGUCCAACAAUCUCCCUUUCCAACUCAUUUGGGGGGUAUAGUCAAAUCUGCUCCCUGUCUACAAAACAAGAGUUUUUUCUUUAGGUAAUGCCUUGGUCAACAUGUCAGCACCAUUAUCAUCUGUAUGCACCUUCUCAAGUGUCAAUAACUUGGAAUCCAAUACUUUCCAAAUCCAAUGAUAUCUCACAUUAAUGUGUUUGGACCGAGAGUGAAAACUGGAGUUCUUACACAAAUGAAUAGCACUCUAACUGUCACAAUAAAGGUUGUACUUCUCUUGCUUCAUACCCAACUCUUGAAGAAAUUUCUGCAACCAAAAAGUCUCCUUGCAUGCUUCCGUGAUUGCAAUAUACUCUGCCUUCGUACUAGAAAGGGCGAUACACUUCUGUAACUUACUUUGCCAUGACACUGCUCCCCCUACAAAGAUCAUCAAGUACCCAGAUGUGGACUUCCCAUUGUCAAGAUCACCUGCCAUAUCUGCAUCAGUGUACCCAUCUAGCAUAGUUUUACCAUUACCGAAACAUAGACACAAUCUAGAAGUUCCCUUGCUAUACCUGAGAAUCCAUUUGACAGCAUUCCAAUGCUCCUUACCAGGAUUAGAGAGAUACCGACUGACUACUCCAACAACAUCAGCAAUAUCUGGUCUGGUGCAAACCAUGGCAUACAUCAAACUACUGACAGCCGAGGCAUAAGGAACCUUUUUCAUAUCUUCUUUAUCUUUCUCACUUGUAGGACACUGCUUGAUGUUCAGUUUAAAGUGACCCGUAAGUGGAAUUGAGACUUCCUUAGCCUUAUUCAUGUUAAACCUGUUGAGUACUUUCUCAAUGUAUUUUUUUGAGACAACAAAAGCUUCUCAUUUUGCCUAUCUCGUAAGAUUUUCAAUCCCAAUAUUUGUCUAGUCGGAUCCAAAUCUUUCAUUGCAAAGGAUUUACUUAACUCCCCUUUUAGCCUAUCAAUCUUCACAGUAUCACGACCAACAAUCAACAUGUCAUAAACAUAUAGCAGGAGAAUAAUAAAAUCACCAUCUGAAAAAAUUUUCACAUAAACACAGUGAUCAGAUGUAGUCCUGUGGUACUCAUGGUCUGUCAUGAAGGAGUCAAACUUCUUAUACCAUUGUCUCGGUGCUUAUUUCAACCCAUACAAACUCUUCUUGAGACGACAUACAAGAUUUUCAUUGCCAUUUUCUUUGAACCCCUCCGCUUGCUCCAUAUAGAUCUCCUCUUCCAAGUCGCCAUGCAAGAAGGCUGUCUUCACAUCAAGUUGUUCGAUCUCCAAAUUCAAACUGGUUGCAAUACCAAGAACAACUCGAAUUGAUGACAUUUUCACCACAACAGAGAAAAUUUCUUCAAAAUCUACACCCUUCUUUUGACUAAAUUCUUUCACAAUCAAUCUUGCUUUAUACUUUGGUUGUGAGUUGUGCUCCUGACUCUUCAACCUGUAGACCCAUUUGUUCUUUAGAUCUCUCUUUCCCUUAGGCAAUUUCACUAAAUCAUAAGUAUGAUUCUCAUGCAGAGACACCAUCUCCUCUUUCAUGGCUCGCAACCAAUCUUCUUUAUUCUCAUACUCUAGAGCCUCACAGUAGGACUUUGGCUCUCCUCCAUCUGUUAACAACACAUAUUCAUGAGAAUUAUAUCUGCUAAAAGGUCUCCUUUCUCUGGUAGAUCUCCUAAGCUCAUCUUGUGGUGGCGGUGGUGGAAUAGGUGGCGCCUUAUGCUCAGGUUCAUCAGCAGUAAAAUUAUCACCAUCAUUAACAUCCUCUCUCUGCUCUGUCUCAGCUCCCCUUUGAUUAUAAUCAACAUGUAUUGAAAUUGAAUCUGGAUCUGAAUUUGAGCUAGCAGGAAUGCCAUCUGAAGAUUUUGAGUUAUCACCUUUAUCAAUGUCUUCAAUGGUUUGAUCUUCAAAAAAGACAAGAUUUCUGCUCCUGGUCACUUUUUUUUCAAUAGGAUCAUACAAUCUAUAACCAAAAUCUUCAUGUUCAUAACCCAAGAAAAUACAUUGUUUUGAUUUUACAUUAAGUUUUGACCUCUCAUUUUUGAGAAUAUGAACAAACGCCCGACAACCAAAAAUUCUUAAAUGUUUAAAGGACACAUCUUUUUCCAUCCAUACCCUCUCUGAGAUAUCACCAUCUAGAGGAACUGAUGGAUAAAGAUUUAUCAAAUCAACUGCAGUCCUCAUUGCCUCACCCCAAAAGGAUUUUGGCAGUUUAGAAUUAGAGAGCAUACAUCUGACCCGCUUAGUGAUGGAUCUGUUCAUCCUCUCUGCUACUCCAUUUUCUUGAGGAGUUUUUGGCACAGUCUUUUUCAAUCUAAUCCCACGAGACUUGCAAUAAAUUUCAAAUGGUCCUCUGUACUCACCACCAUUAUCAGCACGAAUACACUUUAACUGCUUGCCAGUUUCUCUUUCAACUUUGCUAUGAAAAUCUUUAAAUACAUCCAAAAUCUGAUCUUUGGAUUUCAAAGCAAAACACCAAACCUUUCUAGCAAAGUCAUCAAUAAAAGUUACAAAAUAAAAGCACCACCAAGGGACUUAUCUUUCAUAUAGCAAACAUCAGUGUGCACCAAUUCUAACGGAUUUAAUUUUCUAGAUGGACGAAAAUUUUGAAAUGCAACUCUGUGUUGUUUCUCAUAAAUGCAGUCAACACAAAGUUUAAGUACAUUACCUCUAAAUUCAGGUAGGAACUGUUUGUGAACAAGUGUCUGAAUCCCUUUUUCACUCAUGUGCCCAAGUUGUCUAUGCCAAAGGUCAAUUGAUAAAUCACGAACUGCAUUCACUUCUCCCUUCCCCAACUUGGCUUGCAUCAAGUAGAGGGUACUCUGC
rnacentral:lncRNA from 1 species